rnacentral:lncRNA from 1 species
CCUCAUCAGAUAUUUCGUUAAAAUUCAUUCUGAAACACUAAAACUAAAUAAUUGAAUAUGGCUUUGCGGGUCGAUGAUGCCAGCAGCAAUGAGACUGCAAUUAUCACUUGUUUAGUUUCUGUGCUUGCCGUGGUUUACUUCGCAUGGAAUGUGAAAAAAUCAAGGAAAGCAAAUGCUAAACUUCCACCAGGACCUCGCGGCUUGCCUGUAGUCGGAUACCUCCCAUUUCUCGGAACUACUGACUUGCACAAGAAAUUCACGGAAUUAUCCGGAGUUUAUGGUCCGAUCUUCAAGCUCUGGCUCGGAAACAAAUUAUGUGUCGUGGCGAGCUCACCUUCCCUAGUUAAACAAGUGGUUCGAGAUCAAGAUACAACAUUCGCCAACCGUGACCCGCCGAUCGCUGUACUAGCGUUCACCUAUGGUGGCAAUGAUAUUGCAUGGUCCAAUUACGGUCCCGAAUGGAGAAAUUUGCGCAAAGCUUUUGUGGGCAAGAUGAUGAGUAACGCAAGCCUUGAUGCUUGUUAUGCUCUAAGAAAACAAGAGGUUAAAAAUACUAUCAGGGAUUUGUACAACAACGACAACAAAAUUGGUAAGCCCAUCGACAUUGGUGAAUUGUCAAUUUCAACCUUGGUAUGUGUUAUUCAGAACAUGCUGUGGGGUGAAGCGCUUGAAACAAGAGAGGAAGGGAUCACUAAUCUUGGGGCUGAGCUAAAAUUUAAGCUGGCAGAACUCAUGGUCCUAAUGGGAACACCGAAUAUUUCGGACGUCUUUCCAGUGCUUUCAUGGUUUGAUAUACAAGGUAUAGAGAGGAAAGCAAAGAAGAUUUCACUCUGGUUUGAAAAUAUUAUAAAUUCUACUGUUGAAAAGUAUAGAAGCAAGGACUUUAUUGUUGAAGGUAAAGAAAGAGCAGGGGAAAAUUUUGAAGGAUCAAGGAACAAGAACUUCUUGCAGUUACUAUUGGAGCUUCAAGAAAAUGAAGACGGUUCUUCCUCAAUUAGCAUGAACCAAUUUAAGGGCGUGCUCGCGGUAUGUUAAGCAACUAGCCACGAACAGUUAUACAAGCACAGUUGUAUAUUUGCAUGAGUGACGCUUCUCAACUUUUUUUAAUUUUUUAAAUUAAAGUUUUAUUGUAAUCUUUUGAACAGGAUAUAAUUACGGGUGGAACCGACACCACAACUACGAUGGUGGAAUGGACAAUGGCAGAGUUGAUGCAGCAUCCACAAGUAAUGAAGAAAGUUCAGGAAGAAUUAGCUCAAGUUGUGGGCAUGGACAGUUGUGUUGAAGAAUUUCAUUUGCCUAAACUGAAAUAUUUAGAUGCUGUGGUGAAAGAAUCGUUUCGUCUGCAUCCUGCAGUGCCUUUAUUAGUACCACGCAGAGCAAGCGAGAGUGGCAGCAUUGGUGGCUAUACCAUUCCCAAAGAUACAACUCUUAUGUUGAAUGUUUGGGCUAUCCACAGGGACCCUCAACUUUGGGAUAAUCCCUUAGAAUUUCGACCCGAGAGGUUUCUGAAUGUUGGUGUCGAGAGUAAGUUCGAUUACUCAGGUAACAAUUUUCAGUACUUACCUUUUGGUUCUGGUAGAAGAAUGUGUGCUGGGAUUCCUCUAGCUGAGAGGAUGCUGAUGUUUGUUUUGGCUUCGUUAUUGCACUCAUUUGAGUGGGAAUUGCCAGCUGGCACAAAGCUAAAUUUAUCUGAAAAAUUUGGGUUUGUCAUUAAGAAAAAAGAGCCUUUGGUUGCUAUUCCAACACCAAGACUAUCCAAUUCAGAGCUUUACCAUUAAAACAGAAUGAUUGUGAUGAUUUUGUUAGUAUCGGAAGAUUUGUAUGUUAUUUCAAGUUCAAUCGUAAUAAAAUAUUUUAAUAAAAGUCCUCCGUUGCUAAUUUUUUUUUUCAACGGCAUAAUCUGUCAUCAUGCUUGUGUUUGGAGCUACUUUGGAAUGAUUAUUUUUGAAUUACAAUUUAUAAAUAUUUAGGUUUUAAAUUUUUUAUAAGAGUCUAAAUUUAUACACGUUCAGUAAAAGAUUCCCUAAAAGCUUUACAAUUCAAAAUUCUAUUAAAAGUAUAGAUGAAACUUUUAUACCUACUAAUUUUUUGGUCUAUUCUACAAGUUUAAAGAGGAGAUAUUUCUAGAGCUAGCAAAAAGAGCUACCUGAUUGUUUUCGCGUUAUGUCAAUUUUUUUAUUGUGUUAAAUUUAAUUUGACCCACAUAUGACCCAUUUAAUAAUCGUGUCAAAAUAUUGAAACUUGAACUUGAUACGGAAAAUAAAUGGAUGACCACACACACCCAUUUAAGAAUUAGGUAACUAUGUCACUUAAUACGACAUAACCCAAUAACUCGUUUAAUACAUAUUUAACAUAAUUUACAUUGUACAUUGUACACCCUUUUGUCAUAAAUUACACUAUUUUAUAUUUCUAAAUAAUAUUAUAUAUUGAUAUUAUAAAAAAAUAUCAAUAAUCUCAAAAUUUGUACACCUCCUAACUUUUAAAAAGAAAUAAAAAAACUAAUUAAUUAAUGUUUAUUUUAUUCAUUAAUAUAUCAUAAUCCUACAUGUAUUUUAUUUGUUAUUUUUUUUAUUUAAAAAGAUAGGAGGGUGGAUGAAACUCAAAUAAAUUUUUAGCCUAUCCUGAUCUUUCAAGUUUCUUAUUUAGGAGGCCAGUUAAAAAAAAUUACUUAGAAAGCUACUCCAUCAAUUUAACAAAUUUUAUUUAUUUAAUUAAUGGAGGUGUAGAAAAUAAAAGUAUCUGCAAGCACAUUGCAAUAGUGAAAGCAAUGUACCGGUGUUGCAACAUAACUGAAUCUUGAUAACCUAUCACAUAUUUUAAGUUUUAAUAUUGGUAGUUCACGGAUCGGUUUCUACUUCCACGAACAAUUAUUGAAGGAAAUGAGUUUUUUUUUUAAUGAAUAUUUAUAGACCCCGAUUAAAUAUUCGAAUAUAUAAUAAAAGAGAAACUGACAUAGAAAUGAGAAAGAUAUUUGGAGGAGGCCAAAAAAAAAAAAAAAAAUGCAACAGAGAAUUAGAUCAGCAACACAAGUAACUAAUUAAUUCAUCUAUACAUCAUAAUCCUAUUUGUAUCUUCUUCCUUCUACUAAUUUACAUAUAAAUUUGGUUAGAUAAAACAUAUUUUAAUACUCGGUCACAAGCGGUGGAUAUAGAAAAUUAAUUUAGAGGGGGUAAUACCAUAACGAAAAAUAAUGAUUCAUAACUAAAAUCAACCCCAACAUCAAAACUUAUUUACAAGAUUACGCCCAGUCAAAGGUAAUUUUUCCUAAAAACUAAUACGAAAUUAAAUAAAUUUAACUUUUAGUGGGUUCAAGUGCCCACGCAUUCUGAACGUAGAUCCACCCCUGGCCCCGACUGAAGCAUUUUUUACAAUAUGUACUCAGUUUAUCAACAGGAACAACCUUCCACUUUAAAUUAAAAUUUUCACUUAAAAAUGAUUAAUGUUAAUGAGGUUAGCAACAAAAAUGAGUUUAAUUAGAGAAUAUUAUAAGAGAAAUUAUAUUUUUUGACUUUUAAUAAAUUAAAAUAUUAUUAGUUGGUGGUGGUUUCACGUCAGAUUAAGACGUGACACUUUACUUAUGAGGUCGAGACAAUCGACUUAAACUAUUUCAAUGCAUUUGAAAUUUGCACUAAUGGCUAUCAUUCUUUGUCCAAAUUAAUACGAUAAUUAAUAACAUACAAUUGAAAUAAUUAAUACUAGCACUUGGCAAUAAAUAAAGCUCUUGUGCUUGAAUCGUCACACAUGAUCACUUCAUUCCUUUAUUUACUUUGCUACCACAAAUUUUGAGGCAUUAUAACUAAAUAAUAAUUGAAUAGGGCUUUGUGUUACUUGUUGUGCGCGCGGAAUGCGGAAUCAAGCACACCAAAUUAUUACAGAAAAAUAAAGGACACAAUUAUUUGACGUGGUUCGGUAAUUAAACUUACAUCCACGGAGGCAAGAAAGAAUAAUUGUUUAUUUAACAAUUAAUAGAGUACAAAUAUUUGAGUAACGAAUCUCACUUCUCAGAAACCUAAAUAUACCCAAUACUCUCACACUCUGCAGGAAAGAUAAAUUAUCCAAACACACUUCUCUCACUUCUCUAAAAAACUUAAAAAUUUAAAAACUUAACAAUUUUGGAAUGCUUUAGAAUAGAAGAAGUGCCAUCUUAUAGGAAAAAUAAUGAUACUAUUGCACCAACCUCUUUACUAUUCCACCUAACAUAAGCAAAUUGUCAAUAGUGUCCAUUUAACUUUUUAUUUUUUUUCUUCAAUUGUUUAGUAGCCCUUUAAAAAUCUGCGUGGUUUCUUGAAAUUUAGAUGCCACAUGCAUGACUUUUCAACACUAAUUACUACGAUAAUUAAUAUUAGCACUUGGCAAUAAAUAAAGCUCUUGUGCUUGAAUCGUCACACACGAUCACUUCAUUCCUUUAUUUGCUUUGCUACCACAGAUUUUGAGGCAUUAAAACUAAAUAAUAAUUGAAUAUGGCUUUGUGCGUCGAUGACGCCAGCAACAAGGGGACCACAAUUAUCACUUUUUAAGUUGCUUUUAAAAUUGAUUUUAAUAGUGAUUUGAUUAUUGUAGUGUUUUUAUUUUUAUAUUAAAAUUAAGUCGAUUUGUUAUAAUAAACUUAGUUGAGUUUAAUGGUAUUACUACAUAAAUUGAAUAGUCAUCAAAUAUUUUAAUGUUUUUAUGGCAAGUGUUGACGUGGCAUUUAUUUGUUGUAUGAUGGAUUUUAAAAUUUAUAAAAUUAUUUGUUAUUAAAUUACCCCCAGAUGCUGCAUCACCUGAAACUUAAUAAAGGGCAUGUAGCAUUGCCAUUACUCAACAUUCACUCUUAUGACUUUAUGACAUUAGAAUUAAAAUCUUUCGUACAUUUAAUUUGUUUGCUUCCAGAUUAAUCUUUAAAAAUAUUUUUUUCACAUUAUCAUGAAUGGACAAAACUCCAACGAAAAUAACUACGCAAGAGCAAUCUAUGCUAGUAUUAUAUGCCACGAUAUCUAUAACUUUGUCAGGUCUCAGGAUCGAUCAUUCUAAUUUUUACGCAGAACUUUUAAUCAAUGGACAAACACCUCACCGAGCUUGUCGGCAGCAUUACUACGAUGUAAAAUUGUACCGGAAUAUCUUGAAGUAUUAGUAGAAUAAUGAAGACUAUUUGGAGCAAUAAAAACAAAUAACGCAGAUAAAAAAAAUGGCUAAAAUUAUGUAAGUGAGCCCCAAAGUUUUUGCUAUUUCCAGGAAAUCCCAAAUUUGAAUGGACUAGAGGGAGGCACGUAAGAAAUACAUUUUCUUCCUAGACAAUGACAGCUAUGACAUCAAGCCACGUAUUGAAAUUAAGGUGUAAUUAUUCAGCCAAUGAGCCUUACACACCAAGAUGUAUAAAAGUCAAGAAAAUGAAAUUUUAUCCCAAUUAAAACACUUUCUGGCUGCAAUUGGCUGUUUCCAUUUGAAGUUAAAAAACAACAACGUUUCUUUCGUUUUGUGGGCGAUUCGAUUGAGCACGCGCCACGAGCUAGCUGGCUUCCAGUGCUUGCGUGUGACAAUAGAAGGCUAGUGAUUUCACUUUCGCUUUUUUUUUUUUUUCUUUUUUUUGGGGAAUCAAGAUAAAAGCCAAGAAAAUGAAAAUUGGGCUGUUUCCAUUUGAAGUUAAAAACAGUGUUUCUUUCGGGGCGUCAAUUUGAUAUUUGAAUGGACAGGCAAGUAAGAAAUACAAUUCCUUCAUAGACAAUGACAACGAGGACAUCAAGGCACAUCAUUAUAGUUUGUAGCCCAUCUACAUUUAAACGAUUAAUAAACAAGCUUAGGUGUGCCACUGCUAUUAUUAAUUAUCCCCUGAUCAUUAUAGUUUCUGAAACAGUAAAACAAAACGAAAUUGAAUACAUCAACGAGAUCGCAAUUAUCACUUGUUUAGUUGCGGUAUUUAACUUAAUUUUAAUCUAAUAUAUUUGUUAGUUAAACUUUUAAUAAUCAAAUAAUUUUGACUUAAAAAUAAAAUUAUAGAAAUUAUUAAUUAUUAAAAAUUCACACAUAGCUAUUGUUUUCUCUAUAUAUUGCAGUGUGUACGAUAUUGAGGGUUGAAGCCCAAAGCAUGCCCUAAAAUCCAGAUAAUAAUUAGAUCCGGGCCAAAUAUUCAUCAUUGUGUCGGCUGAUCAGUCGGUGGACAUCUCUAUUGAAAAAAUCUCUGACAUUUCUCUCGACAAACUUAUUACUAAAAAAAAAUCAGUGGUUUUGCCGUCUGAAUAAUGUAGAAAAAUUUGUCUGUGCAUUAAUCUAGAUGUUUGAGGUGAUUUAUACAUCUGUGAUAAAGAUUUAUAGGUUGACUUAUACGUCUGUGGUAUAGAUUUUAUGUAUUUCAUUACAAAAUGCUGGCCGUUAGAACCCUUUCUACAUCUAUUUAUAAGAUUAACGGGUGCCAGUUAUGCCAUUACAAAUUAUCCCCUCAUCAGAUAUUUCGUUAAAAUUCAUUCUGAAACACUAAAACUAAAUAAUCGAACAUGGCUUUGCGGGUCGAUGAUGCCAGAAGCAAUUCGACUGCAAUUAUCACUUGUUUAGUUUCUGUGCUUGCCGUGGUUUACUUGGCAUGGAAUGUGAAAAAAUCAAGGAAAGCAAAUGCUAAACUGCCACCAGGACCUCCCGGCUUGCCUGUAGUCGGAUACCUCCCAUUUCUCGGAACUACUGACUUGCACAAGAAAUUCACGGAAUUAUCCGGAGUUUACGGUCCGAUCUUCAAGCUCUGGCUCGGAAAUAAAUUAUGUGUAGUGGUGAGCUCACCUUCCCUAAUUAGACAAGUGGUUCGUGAUCAAGAUACAACAUUCGCGAACCGUGACCCACCGAAGGCUGCACUAGUGGUCUCCUAUGGUGGCAAUGAUAUUGCAUGGUCCAAUUACGGUCCCGAAUGGAGAAAGUUGCGCAAAUUUUUUGUGGGCAAGAUGAUGAGUAACGCAAGCCUUGAUGCUUGUUAUGCUCUAAGAAAACAAGAGGUUAAAAAUACUAUCAGGGAUUUGUAUAACAACGACAACAAAAUUGGCAAGCCCAUUGACAUUGGUGAAUUGUCGUUUUCAACAUUGGUAUGUGCUAUACAGAACAUGCUGUGGGGUGAAGCGCUUGAAAUAAGAGAGAAAGGGACCACUAAUCUUGGGGCUGGGCUAAAAUUUAAGCUGGCAGAACUCAUGGUGCUUGCGGGAACACCGAAUAUUUCGGAUGUCUUUCCAAUGCUUUCAUGGCUUGACAUACAAGGUAUAGAGAGGAGAGCAAAGAAGAUUUCACUCUGGCUUGAAAAUGUUAUAAAUUCUACUGUUGAACAGCAUAGAAACAAGGAGUCAACUGUUGAAGGUGAAGAAAGAGCGGGGAAAAAUUUUGAAGGAUCAAGGAACAAGAACUUCUUGCAGUUACUAUUGGAGCUUCAAGAAAAUGAUGACAGUGCUUCCUCAAUUAGCAUGAACCAAUUCAAGGCCGUACUCAUGGUAUGUUAAGUAACUAGCAACGAACAGUUAUACAAGCACAGUUGUAUAUUUGCAUGAGUGAUAUUUUCAACCUUUUUUUUUAAUUAGAAUUUUAUUGUCACCUUUUGGACAGGAUAUAAUUACGGCUGGAACCGACACCACAGCUACGAUGGUGGAAUGGACAAUGGCAGAGUUGAUGCAGCAUCCACAAGUAAUGAAGAACGUUCAGGAAGAAUUAGCUCAAGUUGUGGGCAUGGACAGUUGUGUUGAAGAAUUUCACCUGUCUAGAUUAAAGUAUUUAGAUGCUGUGGUGAAGGAAACAUUUCGUCUGCAUCCUGCAGUGCCUUUAUUAGUACCACGCAGAGCAAGCGAGAGUGGCAGCAUUGGUGGCUAUACCAUUCCCAAAGAUACAACUCUUAUGUUGAAUGUUUGGGCUAUCCACAGGGACCCUCACCUUUGGGAUAAUCCCUUAGAAUUUCGACCCGAGAGGUUUCUGAAUGUUGGUGUCGAGAGUAAGUUCGAUUACUCAGGUAACAAUUUUCAGUACUUGCCAUUUGGUUCUGGUAGAAGAAUGUGUGCUGGGAUUCCUCUAGCUGAGAGGAUGCUGAUGUUUGUUUUGGCUUCGUUAUUGCACUCAUUUGAGUGGGAAUUGCCAGCUGGCACAAAGCUAAACUUAUCUGAAAAAUUUGGGAUUGUCAUUAAGAAAAAAGAGCCUUUGGUUGCUAUUCCAACACCAAGACUAUCCAAUUCAGAGCUCUACCAUUAAGACAAAAUGGUUGUGAUGAUUUUGUUAAUUUUCCGAAGAUUUGUAUGUUAUUUAGUUCAAUCGUAAUAAAAUAUUUCAAAUAAGAGUCCUCCGUUGCUUUUUUUUUUUUUUUUUUUUCAACGGCAUAAUCUGUCGUCAUGCUUGUAUUUGGAGCUACUUUGGAAUAAUUAUGUUUGAAUUACAAUUUAUAAAUAUUUACGUUUUAAAUUUUUUAUAAGAGUCUAAAUUUAUACACGUUUAAUAUCCCGCUUCAUAGAUAUUUAACACAAUUUAUAUCAUACAUUGUAUACCCAUUUGUCAUAAAUUAUACUAUUUUGUAUCUCUAAAUAAUAUUACGUAUUGAUAUUAUAAUAUAUAUAUAUAUGUUUAUCAAAAGACUAUACCAUUCAAUAUAUAUUGAAAAGAGAACAAAGAAGAUUUUCUUAUGGUUUAAAAAUAUUAUGAAUUCUGCUGUUGAACAGUAUGGAAACAAGGUCUCUGUUGUUAAAGGUGAAGAAGCAACAGGGAACAAUAUUGAAGGAAGAAAUUUCACAUGUUUAGUUGCUGAAUUUGCCGCUGUAUUCUAUCGGUAGUAGAGUUUUUAUUUUUCUCUAUUAAUUUAAGUCAAUUUUCUAUAACAAAUUCGGUUGAGUUUAAUUGUGUUAUAAUAUAAAUUGAAUGAUAAUAGAAUUUUCAACAAAUAUUUCAAUAUUUCUAUCUCGAUUGUUGAAGUGCCAUUUAUUUGUUAUGCGAUCGAUUUUAAAAUUUAUAAAAUUAUUUGUUACUAAAUUGCAUCAUAUGCUAAAAUCACCUGAAACCUAAUUCCAUAACUAACCCUUUAUUUUUAGUUCUCAAGAAAUCUUGUAAGAACAAAAAUCUUUUAUAACAAAACUUUUACAACACAUUAAUUUGUAACUCAUUCCUGUGCGCGAAUCACUCUCAAUUUCCUUCAAUUGCUGUUUAACAAUCAUCUACUUAUCAAAAUUCAAGCAUAAUCUUUUUUUUUUAAUUUCUUCAUCAUUCUUUAAAAAAAAAAUCAGGAUAUGCUGUUAAAUUUUGAAAUAAAUAAAUUAACCAAAGUUGGUUGAUGUGAGUGGUUCAAUGAUGAGCAUAAUUUAUAUACAUAUUUUACCUUUAAUUAUAUAAUUAUUAGUUAUUUUUAUUAGUUAUUUUUAAUUAAUUGAAUUAUUUUAUUGCAUAGAGAAUUAAUUGGAGAUUGGGAAACAAAAAGUGCAUAAAGAAUAACAAGUUUGGGAAAGCAUCAAUCAAAGCCGUGACGCAAUUAAGAGUUUAUAGCAUAUGAAGCCAAGAGUAAUUUGCACUCAAAAAGAAUUUCAAUUAUUCAAGUGACCUGGACCUGCAUGGCAUUGUAAUGCAUGGAAAGCAACUUAAAGGGGCCCACACUUGGCUUUUACAAUUGGAAAAAGGAAUCCUAGUGCAAGCUUAAUUGAUGAGCACGUGAGUGAGAGCAAAGAAAAUUAAAAGGCCAAGCCUUUUGGCUUAAGGAAAUAACAAGGUCGGUGGGGCCCAUUUUAAAGAGUAAUAUAAAAGCAAGCUUUUGGCUUUUGGAGAGAGGAGCCGCGAGAGGAGGAAAACGCAAGACAAAGAGAAGAAAAUCUGCAGCAGUUCGGCUUCUAUGGUUGGUUUUAUCUCUUUUGUUACUCUUAAUUCAAAUAUGUCUAGUUAAUUUUCUUAUAUUAAAGUUAAGGAUGAAACCCUAUUCAAUGAAAUAAUUAUCUUUUUAUUUAUUUAAUUCCCAUAUAUGUUCUUUAAUGAUUAUGAUUUUUAUUUCACAUGAUUAAUUGGAUGUUAUUAAAAUUUUUUCAUCAAUUCUGUCAUGCAUUAUUGAUUGUUAGGAUUAAUAUUCAAUUAAAUCUAUACUUAGAUUUAUAACGUUUAUACAUGAUUAUCUUUGAUUCUAUGUCUUUCAUUAAAUUGUUUACAUGGAGUGCUUAGGAAAACUUUGACUCUUUGUUAUUCAAUAUGUUCACAUGGGAUACUUAGAUGUCAUACUAUUAAGCGGAAAAAGAACCUAUAUUAGAUUUAAUUAUUUGGGCUUAAUUGUUAUAUCCAUGAGAUGACACAAAUUGAUUUCGAGUUGUCACUCUAAAAUUAGAGAUUAAUGAAUAUUUAGAUAAUUACUAGUUGAAUAGCGGUGGAUUCUGAAACCUUGGUAAUUUCUAUCUUAUUGAAUUCUCCUUUACUUUAAUUGUUUUCUUAGUUUAAUUAAUUUAAUUUCUUUUAAAACUCAAUUUGCUUAACUAGGUUAGAAUUAAUAUUAAUUUUAGAUUUAAAUUAGACUUUUCAAUUUAUAACAAUCCAUGUGGGAUCGACCUCGUUACCACUACUUUAUUUCUAGAUUCGUGCACUUGCGAGUAUAUUAAAAUUUUCACAACAAGUUUUUGGCGCCGUUGCCGGGGAUUGUGCCAGAAAGUCAGUUUAAUCUAGGUUGAUUUGAUUCUUCCACUAGUUAUAAUUUAUGUUGUCUUUUAUUUUAUUAUUAUUUUUAAUUAACAAAAACACACAAAAAAACUUUUAUUUUUCUUUAAAUUCAUUGUUUGGUUGUUUGAUUUCUUUUAUUUUUUAAAUUUUGUUUAUUCUCAUUAUUGUUGGUUUAUUUUAUUUUAUUUUUUUCUUUCCUUGUCUAGUUAGUUUAUGAGUGUUUGGGAAUGUGAUUCAACAAAUCGUUUGGUAAAAGAGAGUCAAAAAUUGAUAGUAGUCAAGUUAGUUCUUCUGAAGUCAUGGAUGACCCAAAUAGAUUAUUGCCAAUACUUCCACCAGUGCAAGCAGAGAAAACCCUUAGAGAAUAUUUUUCACCACUUGCAGCCAACCAACCAUCUUGUAUUGUGUUGCCACAAACUACAGCAACACACUUUGAACUUUUUGAACUUAAGCCCUCAGUCAUCCAACUUUUACCAUCUUUCCAUGGGUUAGAGAGAGAGGAUCCAUAUUUGCACAUUAAGGAAUUUCUUGACAUAUGCUCUACAUUCCGUUUUCAAAAUUUUAAUGAUGAGUUAAUCAGGCUUCGUAUGUUAUCUUUCUCAUUAAAAGACAAAGCAAAAGCUUGGUUGAAUUCGCUUUCUGCUGGGUCUAUAACUACGUGGGAUGAAUUGAAUAAUAAGUUCCUCACCAAGUUUUUCCCUAUGUCUAAAACAAAUGCCCUUAGGAGAGAGAUAAGUGAUUUCUAUUAAAGAGAGGGUGAGCAAUUUUAUGAGUGUUGGGAAAGAUUCAAUGAUUUACUCCUCAAGUGCCCCCACCAUGGUUUUGAGAAAUGGAGACUUAUACAAUGCUUUUAUAACGGUUUAACCAUGUCGAAUCGUCAUAUGGUAGAGUCUAUGAAUGGUGGGAGAUUUUUGAACCUACAUGAAGGGGCUGCAUGGGAUUUCUUUAAUUCACUUUCUGAGAAUUCUCAACAGUGAGAUUUUUCAAGCCAAAGGGAAAAAUCAUCUCAAGUUUCUAGAAAGGGGUUAUAUGAAGUUAAGGAUGAUUUUGAUGUGAAAUCCACUCUAAUUACACUUUCUAGAAAAGUAGAUGCCUUAGCUCUGAACCAAUCAAUGAAUCAUCAUCCUAGUGUAGCUAAUGAGGUUUGUGCUAUUUGUUCUAACUUGUCUCAAACAGCACAAAACUGUCCAUCAUUACCAGUCUAUCCAGAGGCUUAUUCUGAGCAGGUACAUGCCUUACAAUCAUAUGAGAAAACCUCCAAUAAUACAUAUUCACUCACAUAUAAUCCUAAUUGGAGGAAUCACCCUAAUUUUUCUUGGAAACAAAAUCAAUCUUUGUCAAACCAAGGAGGACAACAAUUUAACAUGCCCAAUCAACAAUUUGUCCCUCCUAACCAAGUAUAUCCUCCUGCCCAACAACCUAUAUCUCAAUUUGUUACACCCCAACAAAGAAAACCUUCUUUAGAGGAUACACUUCAAAGUUUCAUUCAGUCAACCUAAUAAGCUUUUCAGUCAAACACUCAAGCUAUUCUAAAGCUUGAACAUCAAUUGGGUCAAUUAGCAACUACUGUAGCGGAGAAAGAAAAAAGAAAAUUCCCCAGUCAAUCAAUUCCUAAUCCUAAAGGAGUGCAUGAAGUUGGAUCGAGUUCAAGCCAUCAGCAUGAAGAAGCAAAAUCAAUUAUGACCUUGAGAAGAGGAAAAUUGUUUGACAACAAAGUGGAGGUUCAAACAAAGAAGACAUCUGAGCCUACUUCUUCAGAUCCAAUUACAUCACAAGAAUCAUCACCAAAUGAUCUUGAAGAGAGUGACCCGCUAGCUUACAUUCCCAAGGCUCAUUUUCCUCAAAGGUUAACAAAGGUAAAGAAAGGGACUUCAACAUGUGAGAUUAUAGAAAUCUUCAAGCAGGUAAGUAUAAACAUCCAUUUACUCGAUGCUAUUAAGCAAGUUCCUUCCUAUGCCAAGUUUUUGAAAGAUUUAUGCACUAAAAAGAGAAAUUUGCAUGUCACUAAAAAGGCGUUUUUAACUGAACAAACUAGCAAUUUACUUCAAUGUAAAAUGCCACCAAAAUUUAAGGAUCCUGGUUCUCCUACUAUUUCAUGUGUUAUAGGGAACCAAUGUUUUGAUAAAGCAUUAUUGGAUUUAGGUGCUAGUGUUAAUCUCUUACCUUAUUCCAUUUACAUGCAGCUUGGACUAGGUGAGUUAAAAUCAACUCCUAUUAUUUUGCAACUUGCUGAUAGGUCAAUGAAAAUACCUCGUGGUAUUAUAGAGGAUGUGUUGAUACAGAUUGACAAAUUUUAUUAUCCUGUUGAUUUUAUUGUUAUUGAUACUCAACAUGUACAUGAUCUUAAGAAACACACUCCACUUAUUCUUGGUCGUCCUUUCUUAGCUACAGCUGAUGCUCAUAUUAGUUGCAGGACUUGAAACAUGCAAUUGUCUUUUGGUAACAUGACCAUGGAAUUAAAUAUUUUUAAUGUUCCCAAGCAGGCACAAGAAGAUGAUGAAGUCGUUGAAGUAGAUAUGAUAGAAGCAUCAAUUGAUGACUCACUUAUUUCUAACCAUUGUGACAAUCCAUUAAUACCUUGCACAACUGACUCUGAUUUCUCUAUUGAUGUUGAUAGUGAUAUUGAAGAAGUUAAUGCUUUACUUGAUUCGACUCUUAUCAUAGAUCUAAUUAAGUGGAAAGAAAAGAUAAGAUUGAGCCACUUCCUCCUGAAGAGAAAAGUGCAACAUAGGUCACAUUCUGACAUAAAAAAGGUGGUAAGAUCUAAAACGCUUAAAUUAUUAGAUUUUUAUACUACUUUAGAUAACUCUCAGGAAAGCUUAGAACAGAAGAGAUCAAAGCAAUGCGAUAUUGAGGAGUUUCAUUACCAUCAUCCUUUUAUGGAUAAAAUGCUCCAGUGCUUAAUCAAUUAUGCUUUUUGGUAUUUUCUAUAUAAUUGCUUUAAUUUUCACCAAAUUCUUAUUGAUCCUGGUUGAUUUGUUGUUUACAUUAAUUAGUUAGUUAGUCGGAUUUUUUUAUUAUUAUUUAUAUUUCUUCUAACGUUUUCUUUUGAGUUGUCAUUCUUUUAAGUUUUCCUAGCUCAGUCAGGUGUGUUCUCUCCAACUUUCUCUUUUAUUAUUUAUGUUUUUAUUUUUCAUCUUUUUGCGUGCAUAUCUUUUAUUUAUGACACAUUGAGGACAAUGUUCCGAAUAAGUUUGGGGGUGGGAAUAAUGUUGCUUUGUUUGUUAAAAAAAACUAAAAAAAAAUUUCAAAAAUUCAAAAAAAAAUUGUGUUUUUUUUGUUUUUACGUGAAAAGCCAAUGAUAAAAACUUGAUUGACAAUGAAUAUGGUUUUUAGAAAGGGUUUAAUAUUGUCUUAAUUUAUACUUGAUUCUUAUGUUAGUUCCUCUUGAUUGAGAUUCUUUAAAAUAUAAGCACUAAUAUCAAUUCUUUCAUAAUUUUGACUUGAAAUUUGAGAUUGACGCAGCCUGAGUUGAGAAUUUUAGAUAGAGUAAAUGACUGUUUGUCUUUAUUCUUAUCUCCACAAUACAAAAUAGUAUACACAGGCACCAAAGUCAGAAAUAACUACCUAUAAUCCUUAAGAGUGAAGCUAUCCUUGAGUAAUUUAGGCCUAUGUACCACAAGUAUGUAGAGGAUAAUCUACCAUGAGAAGAAUGCUACCUUAAGGGGUAGAGUGAAAGCUCCUGACUAUGGUUAAAAAAAAAAGAAGAAGAAAAAGAGAAAGAAAAAAUCAAAUCAAGUGCAUGUGCUGAAAAAAAAAUCAAAAGAAAAUGCACAUAAAAGCCUGUGAAAAAAAAAUUGGAGAUUAAGAUGAUAAGAUUAGCUUGACCUACUCUUUUCUUUUUUUGAGGCGAAGGUUGUUGAUAUUGAAGAUUUUAGGAAUGAAUUUGAUUGAAUUGAUUUCACACACACACAACAAGAAUCGAAAGAGAGAUGGGAUUGAUUAUUGAAUUAAAGUUAGAACUUUGCCAAUAUUUGAAAUUUUGUUUGAGCUAUAUAAUUUAUGCAAUCUUUGAGGGUAUUUUCAUAUUUUAUUUAAAGUUUUUUUUUCUUUUUAUUUUAUUUUAUUUAUUUUUUAUUUUUUUAAAAUGAUGUUUGUGGGUGUCAUCACUGAAGCUCUCACGAGACUAUAACUCGUCCACUAGGGGUUUAAAGGCUUGUUGCAUACGCUAAAUGCAAUCGCGAUUACCUGCGAAAAUGGUUUAGUUAGGAUUUACUUUUUGUUUUGUUAUUUUUUUUUUUUUUUUUAGUUUUAGCUUUGCUCGAGGACUAGCAAAAUCUAAGUUUGGGGGUAUUUGAUGAGCAUAAUUUAUAUACAUAUUUUACCUUUAAUUAUAUAAUUAUUAGUUAUCUUUAUUAGUUAUUUUUAAUUAAUUGAAUUAUUUUAUUGCAUAGGGAAUUAAUUGGAGAUUGGGAAACAAAAAGUGCAUAAAGAAUAACAAGUUUGGGAAAGCAUCAAUCAAAGCCAUGACACAAUUAAGAGUUUAUAGCAUAUGAAGGCAAGAGUAAUUUGCACUAAAAAAGAAUUUCAAUUAUUCAAGUGAUCUGGACGUGCAUAGUAUUGUAAUGCAUGGAAAGCAACUUAAAGGGGCCCACACUUGGCUUUUACAAUUGGAAAAAGGAAUCCUAGUGCAAGCUUAAUUGGUGAGCACGUGAGUGAGAGCAAAGAAAAUUAAAAGGCCAAGCCUUUUGGCUUAAGGAAAUAACAAGGUCGGUGGGGCCCAUUUUAAAGAGUAAUAUAAAAGCAAGCUUUUGGCUUUUGGAGAGAGAAGCCGCCAGAGGAGGAAAACGCGAGACAAAGAGAAGAAAAUAUGCCGCAGUUCGACUUCUAUGGUUGGUUUUAUCUCUUUUGUUACUCUUAAUUCAAGUAUGUCUAGCUAAUUUUCUUAUAUUGAAGUUAAGGAUGAAAUCAUAUUCAAUGAAAUAAUUAUCUUUUUAUUUAUUUAAUUCCCAUAUAUGUUCUUUAAUGAUUAUGAUUUUUAUUUCACAUGAUUAAUUGGAUGUUAUUAAAAUCUUUUCAUCAAUUCUGUCAUAUAUUAUUGAUUGUUAUGAUUAAUAUUAAAUUAAAUCUAUACUUGGAUUUAUAAAGUUUAUACAUGAUUAUCUUUGAUUCUAUGUCUUUCAUUAAAUUGUUUACAUGGAGUGCCUAGGAAAACUUUGACUCUUUGUUAUUCAAUAUGUUCACAUGGGAUACUUAGAUGUCGUACUAUUAAGCGGAAAAAGAACCUAUAUUAGAUUUAAUUAUUUGGGCUUAAUUGUUAUAUCCAUGAGAUGACAUAGAUUGAUUUCGAGUUGUCACUCUAAAAUUGGGGAUUAAUGAAUAUUUAGAUAAUUACUAGUUGAAUAGUGGUGGAUUCUGAAACCUUGGUAAUUUCUAUCUUAUUGAAUUCUCCUUUACUUUAAUUGUUUUCUUAGUUUAAUUAGUUUAAUUUCUCUUAAAACUCAAUUCGCUCAACUAGGUUAGAAUUAAUAUUAAUUUUAGAUUUAAAUUAGACUUUUCAAUUUAUAACAAUCCCUGUGGGAUCGACCUCGUUACCACUACUCUAUUUCUAGAUUCGUGCGCUUGCGAGUAUAUUAAAAUUUUCACAACAUUCGGCACUCUCACUCCUUAAGAGAGGUCAGGGGUUCAAGCCUCGCUCUCGUAUGGAGUCACCACUUUGACCAGCACUUUACCCCUUACAGACCGACCCGGUGCGAGCAUGAAUUAGUCUGGGUUGUGGUACGGGCUUAAAGGUGCCUCCCACAAUUGAGACCCACUCAGGACCACCUCGUGGUUCGGACAAAAAAAAAAUUGAAAUAAAUUAUCUCAAAAUAAUUACUAACCAGAAAAAACAAAGGGGUUUAACUAGGUUAUGCAUACCUUUGAAAAUUAUAUGUUGAUCGAUAAGCAUGAUGAUCACGAUUGAGGAGUUUAAUUAAAAUUUAUAAGAUUUUAAAAUUAAUCAGGGUUAAAUUCUAAAUUUUAGAAAGAGAGGUUUUGUGAGAAUGCUGAAAGGGUGUUAAUAGUUCCACUCUUUUUUAAAAAAACCAUAGUCAUCAUUUUUCCCGAUUUCUUCUUCCCAUCUCCAUCUUAUUUAGAAAUUUCCCAGAGCCUUUGUUUCCCACCAUUCAUUUUUCUUCUUUCUAAUUUAAGAUUAUAGUAUUAUAAAAAUAAUUACUCACAUUUUAUCAAACACCUCCAUUAUACCAAGGCCUUGUUUUAGUAGUAGGCUUUUAUUAUCUCAAUAAAAUUGAAAAAACAAAGCUCAAUAAUAUUGGAAAAAAAACCUACCCAUAUUUGUAACUUUAAUUUAUUAUUCUCCAUAGACCUACUUUUUAGCUUUGAAUUUUGUUGGAGCCAUAUAUAAACAGAAUAUGUUGAAAUCAGCACAAAAAAAAAACUAAUUAUAUAAUUUUUGUUCCCAAGGACACGACUGUGUGAUUUUUAAGAAGUUUUGUUUGGCUGGCCACUUAGGUUUAAAUCUUGGUGGAGAUUAGGGGUUAAGAAAUAAAUUUGGACUUUGCACACCCCUUUAACUUUUAAAAAGAAUGAAAAAAACUAAUUAAUUAAUCUUUAUUUUAUUUAUUAAAUGUCAUAAUCAUAUGCAUAUUUUAUUUGUUAUCUUUCUAUUUAAAAGAUAGGAGGGCAAAUAAAACUGAAAUAAAUGUUUAUCCCUAUCUCCAUCUUUCAAGUUCCAUAGUUAGGUGACCAGCUAAAGAAAAUUAAUUGAAAGUUACUCCAUCAAAUUAAAAAAAAUUAUUUAUUUAAUUUGUGGAGAUGUAGAAAAUCAAACCCCAUACCUUUUCGCAUGCAAAAGUGUCAACCUGGUCUAGCUAUGUUGCAACAGUAAACAUAUUUUAAUACAUGACUAUCAUCUUUUAUCCUAAAUACUACUAUAACUAUGGGUUCAGUUAUGCUGUAACUGUGGUAUGGUACCACAGUUGUUUUCAACCAUUAAAUUCAACUUAUAUAACUAUGCAACUGUAGAUCUAACGGCUGAAAGCAACUAUGGUACCAUACCACAGUUGCAACAUAGUUUUGCCCCUAUAACUCAUAACAUUCAAUUGAAAUAAUAAAUGUUAACACUUGGCUAUAAAUAAAGGUUUUGUACUUGAAUCUUCAUGCAUGACCUUCAUUCCUUUAUUGACUUUGCUAACACAGAUUUUGAGGCAUUAAAACUAAAUAAUAAUUGACUUUGUGGGCCGAGGAUGCCAGCAACAAGGAGACCACAAUUAUCACUAGUUAAGUUACUCUAAUUGCCGUUGUCUUAUAUUCAUAAAAUAUUAGUAAUAAGAUUAUUGUAGAAUUUUUUUAUAUUAAAAUUAAGUCAAUUUGUUAUAACAAAUUUAGUUGAGUUUAAUCGUGUUACUACAUACAUUGAAUAAUAAUAGAAUUCUCGACAAAUAUUUCAAUAUUUUUAUCCCAAGCGUUGGAGUGGCAUUUAUUUGUUAGACAAUCGAUUUUAGAACUUAUAAAAUUAUUCGUUACUGAAUUGCACCAUAUGCUGCAUGACCUGAAACUUAAUAAACGGAACGUAGCGUUGGCAACAUUCACUGUCAUGACUUUGUGACAUUAGAAUUAAAUUUUUUUGCACAUUUAAUUUGUUUACUUCCAAAUUAAUAUUUAACAAAAUAUUUUUUCACAUUAUCAAUGGACAAAACUCCAACGAAAAUAACUAUACAAUAUAUGCUAGUAUUGUAUGCCAUAUCAUCUGUAAUUUUGUCAGGAUCGAUCAUUUUAAUUUUUAAGCAAAACUUUUUAUCAAUGGACAAACACCUCACACAGCUUGUCAGAGGCAUUAUUAUGAUGGAAAACUGAUAAACAGUGAACUCGAAACUCAAUUACUACAAGUCGUUUAGAGGAUUCAGUCUUGGAUGACUUGUCACUUGUGGAAUUCUUGAAGCCAGAACCGACAUAAUCUCAGUCGUCAUUCUGUCUUAAGUAAUACACAUGGUUUGCAUGUGUGUUGAAGCUGACUCUUUGCUUGGAUCAAGAAACGACGUCUUUGAGUGCCGUUUCUUAAACACACUUUAAAUCAGCUUGUGUCAAGCACGUGAGGUAGAGCUUUUUGAAUAGAUUUGGCGGGAAUGGUAGUUAGUGUAACAACCCAGAAAUAGAGGUUAAAAGGUGAAGGCUUUGUCAUCAUCUACACAUGAUUUGGGAAACAUUGAGAGUAGAGAAAAAGAUAGAGAGAGAAAGGGGUUAACAAGUUCUUGUUCUCUGUAAAUCGAUUUAUAUUCUUGUAAAGUUUGUGAUCUCAAUUAGUGAAAGACUGUUGCUUUGUUUCCAGUGGAUGUAGGCACCACUUCUUGGUGCUGAACCACUUAUACUUGGUGUCAUAUUGUUUCUUUAAUGCUUUGAUUCUUGCGUGUGAUUGUUGCUGGAUAAUCUGUGCUGUUAAUUCUCAAACCAUUGAUACAGAAUUAAUGUCUUGGGGAGAAUUUGGUUAGUCUUAUCAAAGCCGAAUUCACAACAAAUUGGUAUCAGAGCCCUCUUUUCUGUAUCAAGGUUCAAGAAAUGACUAACAAGGUGGAUCUUGAGAAGUUCAAUGGUCAGAAUGAUUUCAAUAUGUGGAGGAUCAAGAUGGAAGCAUUGUUAAUCACACAAGGUCUGGGAGAUGCCAUUGAUCCAGUCAUUAAGAGUGAAAAUGCAGAAGCCUAUUCUUCAAGAACUCCAGAACAGAUGGCUAAGAUUGAAAAAAAGGCAAGAAGCACCAUCAUCCUCAGUCUUGGUGACUUAGUGAUAAGGGAAGUUGCCAAGAAAAAGACUGUUGCUAGGCUCUGGGCAAAACUGGAACAAUUGUAUAUGACAAAGUCCUUAGCAAACAGGCUAUACAUCAAGAAAAAGAUGUUCUCACUGAGGAUGAUUGAAGGAGCAUCACUUGAUGAACACAUAGAUGAGUUUAAUAAAGUUUGUGAUGAACUGGAAACAAUUGAUGAAGGACUGAGUGAUGAGAGCAAGGCUUUGCUGUUAAUCAGUUCUUCACCAAAAUCAUAUGAACAUUUUGUGGAUGCCUUGUUAUAUGGAAGGCAAUCACUCUCCUUGGAAGAGGUUAAAUCUACUCUUGGUACCAAGAAGUUAAAAGAAAAACAAGAUAACUCAGAGAGUGAAUCAAGUGAAGGGCUGAUGGCAAGGGGCAGAUCUGAAAAAAAGGAGUACAAAGGAAAAAAACAAGGGAGAUCAAAGUCAAAGCAGAAACAUUUGAAGUGUUUUCACUGCCACAAAGAAGGGCAUUUCAAGAGGGAUUGCCCUGAGAGAAAAACAAAGCAAAAGGAAUCAAAAGACAAAUCUGGAAAUACAGCAAUAGCCACAGAAGAAACCAGUUUUGAGAUAGCUGAAGUCCUCAUUGCCACAAAAGAAAAAAACUCAAGGUCAGUGGGUACUAGACUCUGGAUGUACUUUUCAUAUGAGUCCAAAUAGAAAUUACUUUACUACAUAUCAGUCCUGUGAUGGGGGUAUGGUGCUGAUGGGAAAUAAUUCAGUUUGUAAAGCAGUUGGGAUUGGGACUGUAAGCCUUAAGAUGUAUGAUGGCAUGGUUAGAGAACUAACUCAGUUUAGGCAUGUUCCUGAGCUUAAAAGGAACCUAAUAUCUAUUGGCAUGCUUGAUCAAACUGGAUGUGUCAAUAAGGCUGAAAAUGGGUCAUUGAAAGUUAUCAGAGGCUCAAUAGUCAUAAUGAAAAGUUCCAAGCAAAAUGGUUUGUAUGUGUUGAAUGGACAUACAACUGUUGGAGAGGCAAGUGUCACUGAGAAGAGUGAAGACAAAGCAAGACUAUGGCACUUGAGGUUGGGGCAUAUGAGUGAAAGGGGAUUGAAGGAGCUUCAAAAGAAUGGGGUGUUUGGAAGUGACAAGCUAAGUUCUUUGGGGUUCUGUGAAGACUGUAUCCUAGGGAAGGCUUCCAAUCUCAAGUUUGAAUCUGCAGUUCAUUCUACCAAAGAGAAGCUUGCAUAUAUACACUCUGAUAUGUGGGGGCCUGCACAGGUAAAUUCUCUUGGUGGCUUUAAGUAUUUCUUAUCCUUAAUAGAUGACUAUUCAAGGAUGGUUUGGGUGUAUGUACUCAAAACCAAAGAUGAAGCUUUGGAAAAGUUUUAGAGGUGGAAAAUUCUGGUAGAAACACAGACAAGUUUGAAAGUAAAAGCUCUAAGAACAGAUAAUGAAUUGGAAUUCUGCAACAAAGAGUUUGGAGACUUUUGUAAAAGACAUGAGAUUAUGAGGCACAAAACAGUCAUACACACACCUCAGCAAAAUGGUUUUGCUGAGAGAAUGAACAGAACCUUAAUGGACAAGGUGAGGUGUAUACUGCUAUACUCAAAGCUGCCUAAGUCACUCUGGGCAGAGGCCUUAAACACAGCAUGUUACUUGGUAAAUAUAAGUCCAUCUACAGCAAUAGAAUGCAAAACACCUAUCGAGCUAUGGUCUGGAAGGGUUGCAGAUUACUUUAAACUGAGAAUCUUUGGAUGUGUUGCUUAUGCAUAUGUCAAACAAGGCAAAUUGGAGCCAAGAGCUUUAAGGUGUAGAUUUCUAGGAUACCCUGAUGGAGUUAAAGGCUAUAGGCUAUGGUGCAUUGAUUUGAAGCCACCAAAAUGCAUUAUCAGCAGGGAUGUAACUUUCAAUGAGUCAGAAAUCUUGAACAAAUCCAAAACCACUUAAUCCAAAGAUCAUAUAUCAGAAACAAGACCUGGGAGUGUUCAGUUUGAGGUGGAGUCCUAUGAACAAGAUAGGACUGAAUCAGAAACUGAAGGAGAUUCAGGAAGGGUUACUGAUGGAUUUGAUGUUGUUCAGGAGUCAGAGCCAGCUGAGAAUGAAGAUAAUUCUUAUCAGUUGGUCAGGGAUAGAAAGAAGAGAGCUGUAAGACCACCUAAGAGGUAUACAAUAGCAGAUUUCAUAGCUUAUACAUUAACAGUUGCACAAGAGGUAAAUGAGGAAGAGCUAAGAACCUAUAAAGAAGCUAUAAACAGCAUGGAUAAGAUGAAAUGGAAGGAGGCUAUGGAUGAGGAAAUUGAAUCACUAAUGAAAAAUGGAACUUGGAAGCUGAUAGUUAGACUAGAAAAAAGGAAGACUGUUAGCUGCAAAUGGAUCUUCAAAGUUAAGGAAGGUAUAUCUGAUGCUGAACCUAGUAGGUUUAAAGCUAGGCUGGUAGCAAGAGGCUUCACACAAAGAGAGGGGAUUGAUUUCCAUGAAAUCUUCUCUCUAGUUGUGAAACAUGCCUCCAUCAGAGUCAUCUUAGCUUUAGUUGCCAUUCAAGACAUGUACCUGGAGCAUAUGGAUGUUAAAACAGCCUUCCUGCAUGGUGAAUUACAAGAAGAAAUUGUAAUGGAACAGCCUGGGGGGUAUGUGGUGUCUAGUAAGGAAAAUCAUGUGUGCUUACUAAAGAAAUAUUUAUAUGGAUUAAAGCAGUCUCCUAGGCAAUGGUACUUGAAGUUUGAUAGUUUUAUGACAAAACAUGCCUACAAGAAAUGCAAUUAUGAUUGUUGCGUGUACUUUAGGGACAUUGGUGAUGGAAAGAUGAUUUAUCUUAUGCUGUAUAUGGAUGACAUGCUUAUAGCAUGUCACAGCAUAGAUGAAAUCAGUCAUUUAAAGAAUCUCUUGAGCAGUGAAUUCGAUAUGAAAGAUCUUGGAGCUGUAAGGAAGAUCUUAGGUAUGGAAAUUAUCAGAGACAGGAGAAGGAAGCUUAUGUUUUUAACCCAACAGAGCUAUGUUAAGAAGGUGUUGCUUAGAUUUGGGAUGCAUGAAUCCAAGUCUGUUCAAACACCUUUGGCAAAUCACUUCAAGCUGUCUGCUGCACAUUGUCCACAAACUGAUGCAGAGCAAGGAAAAAUGGCAAGGAUACCUUACUCCAGUGCAGUUGGGAGCCUCAUGUAUGCCAUGGUUCUCACUAGACAUGAUAUCUCACAUGCUGUGAGUAUAGUGAGUAGAUUCAUGGCAAAUCCAGGUUAUGAGCAUUGGAGGGCAGUCCAGUGGAUAAUGAGGUACCUGAAAGGCACUAUGGAGUUUGGUCUGCUAUAUGGAGGGUUAAAACAGGAAGGGCACAAGCUGGUGGGGUAUGUUGACUCAGACUUCGCUGGAGAUCUUGAUAAAAGGAGGUCUCAGACAUGUUUUAUAUUCACUUUGGGAGGCUGCACUGUGAACUGGAAAGCUACUCUGCAAAGUGUGGUAGCUUUGUCCACAACUGAAGCCGAAUAUACAGCAGCUGCAGAAGCUUUUAAGGAAGUCAUCUGGUUAAAAGGAAUGGUCUCAGAGUUAGGAGCAAAACAAGAAACAGUUGAAGUAUACUGUGAUAGCCAGAGUGCAAUACAUUUGAGUAAAAACCAGACCCAUCAUGAAGGAACAAAACAUAUUGAUGUAAAGCUUCAUUUUGUAAGACUUGAAGUUUCAAAGGGAACUGUGAAGAUGCUCGAGGUUCACACUGAUCAAAAUCCAACCGAUAUGUUGACUAAAGCUGUGCCUUCUGCCAAGCUCAACUUCUGUUUGAGCUUAGCAGGAAUUUGCAGUUUCUGAUCAGCUGCAAAAGAAAGGGAAUAAAGUAUACAGGAGUAGCUAGAGUUCAGAGUUCACACUGAUUAAAAGGUGCAGGCUUUGUCAUCGUCUACACAUGAUUUGGGAAACACAGAGAGUAGAGAAAAAGAUAGAGAGAGAAAGGGGUUAACAAGUUCUUGUUCUCUGUAAAUCGAUUUCUAUUCUUGUAAAGUUUGUGAUCUCAAUUAGUGAAAGAUUGUUGCUUUGUUUCCAGUGGAUGUAGGCACCACUUCUUGGUGCUGAACCACUUAUGCUUGGUGUCAUAUUGUUUCUUUAAUGCUUUGAUUCUUGCGUGUGAUUGUUGCUGGAUAAUCUGUGCUGUUAAUUCUCAAACCAUUGAUACAGAAUUAAUGUCUUGGGGAGAAUUUGGUUAGUCUUAUCAAAGCCGAAUUCACAACAAAAACUGUAAUGGUAUAUCUUGAAUUAUUGGUAGAAUAGUUCUUUGGAGCAAUAAAAACAGAUAAGACAGAUGAGAAAAUUGUCAAUACCCCACCGCAAAAGCAAAAGAAAACAAGGAAAGGAGACAAAAGAGGAAGAAGAAAAAGAAAAAAGAACGAAGAAAAAAAUGGUGCCGUGCGGUAUAGGCAAGAAGAAAAAAUAAUAAAAAAUAAUAAAAUAAUAGUGCACAACAAUCAUUUGAUUGCUAUAAAUAAAAGGCGUUUCCCUCAUUUUAUUCAUCGAAUUCUUCAGUUCCUUUCAAGCGAUUUAAGAGUCUAGUGAUUUGAGAGUUUGGGUGUAGUAUGAUUUUGGGUAGUGAGCUAAAAUACUACAAUACUUGUAACUCAUUUUUAUUAGUAAAAUAUUUUCCUUCUGACUUCGCCCGUGGACGUAUGCUAAAAGCCGAAUCACGUAAUUUCUGGUGUCCCUAUGUGAUUAUGUGUCUCAUUAUUUCUUAAUUUCACUUUAGUUGCGUGUCUGCGACACCCCUCAAUUUAUUAACAAAAAAUGGCCAAAAUUAUAUAAGUGACCCAAAUUUUUUUGUUAUUUCCAAGAAAUCCCCAAUCUGAAUGGGCUAGACCAGAGGGAGGCAAGUUAGAAAUACAUUUCCUUCAUAGACAAUAACAGUGAUGAGUCGAUGACAUCAAGCCACGUCGGUAUCAAUAUUGAAUUAAAGGUGCAAUUAUUCAGCCAAUGAACCUUACACAUCAAGAUAAAAGUCAAGAAAAUGAAAAUUUAUCCCAAUUAAAACACUUUCUGGCUGCAUUUAGUUGUUUCCAUUAGAAGUUAAAAACAACGUUUCUUUCGUUUUGUGGGCAACUCAACUGAGUUAGCUGGCUUCUAGUGCUAGUAUGUGAAAAUAGAAGGCUAAUGAUUUAUUUAUUAUCUUUUGACAAAAUUAUUAAAGAUAUAAUAGAUUUUCUAUGAUACAAGUGAAAAAUCACAUCAACAUAGCUUUCAAUCUACAGCAGCUAGCGUUUACCAAACACUUUGUUGUAGCUUUUAAGCUAUAGCUGCCCAACCUCAAUCUCAAACGCACCCUUAAUAGGUUGAUUGAAUUUGUGAGAUAUGGAUUCCACAUAUCUCAUGACCUAGUAAUUAUACAAGUGGUUCGUGAUCAAGACACAACAUUUGCUUCCGGCCUAGUGACCCAGCAAUCGCUGCACUGGUCGCCACCUAUGGUGCCGACGAUAUUGCAUGGUCCAAUUGUGGCCUUGAAUGGAAAAAGUUGAGCAAAUUAUUUGUGGACACGAUGAUAAGUAACGCAAGCCUUGAUGCUAGUUAUGGUCAAAGAAAACAAGAGGUUAAGAAUACUAUCAGAGAUAUUCAUAACAACAAAAAGGAAAAAAAAAAGGCAUUUGCAAGCCCAUUGAUAUUGGUGAAUUGUCGAUUUCAACUUUGGCAUGUGUAAUCCAGAACCUGCGCGCUGUGGUAUGGCGCUGGCACGCUUGCAUUAACGAGGGGACAAGUCUUGGGGCUGAGCUAACAUUUAAGCUCGCAGAACUCAUGGUGCUAAUGGGAACACCAAAUAUUUUUUUGACAUAUUUUGGUGCUUUCAUGGUUUAAUUCAAGGUAUAGAAAGGAGUGUUGAGAAUGUCAAAUAAAACGGCAUUGAAUGGAAGUUGUCAAAGACACGAUCCGCACCGAACGGCAACGACACGGUUGCUAAAAAUCCUUCCAUAAUAUGCAUAUCUAAUUUUUUAAAAAGUGUAACCUCUGCAUUUAUAAAUAUACUCAAUGUAUAAUGUUUUACUUAAGAAAUGAAAAACUUGUUUGUUCAAGGAGAAUAAAGAAAAUUUUUCUAUGAUUUUUUUAUGGUUUGAACAAAGAAGGUUUUAAUGAGUAUUAUAGACCUCGAUUGAAUGUUCGAAUGUAUAAUAAAAGAGAAACUGUCACAUAAAUGACAAAGAUACUUGGAAAAAAAAAAAGGGCAGCAAUAGAGAAUUAGAUUCGACUGCACAAAUAACUAGUUAAUUCAUCAAUACAUCAUUUUCUUGCUAGAAAAUGACAAUUAUGACAGCAAGCCACGAUAGUGUCAAUAUUGAAAUUGAUUUGCAAUUAUUCAGCCAAUGUGCCUUACACGUCAAGAUAAAAGUCAAGAAAAUGAAAGUUAAUAUCAAUUAAAACACUUCCUGGGCCGCAUUUAGCUCCAGUUUUUGUGGUAGGAAAACAAAGUUUUGUUUUAAAUUCACAUGGUGUGCACUUCCUAUAUAAAUCUAGAGUUGUGUCCCACGUUGAACAAUAAAGGAAAGUCACCUAAAUAUACAUGUAGGAUAAGUUACUUUAUUUAGUAAGUUUGUAUUUUCUUCUUUCUUCUAGUUUACAUAUAAAUUUGAUUAGAUAACUUAACACAUAUUUUAAUACUUGAUCAGAAGCCCUACGUACAGGUGGAUCUAGAAACUUGAUUUCUAAGAGUAAUACUAUAAUAAAAAAAUAAUGAUUCAUAGAACCAAUAUCAAAAUUUGUUUACAAGAUUACCCCCACUCAAAGGUAAUUUUCAUAGAAAUUAAUAGGAAAUUUAAUUGUUAGUGGGGUCAAAUUGCCCCCACACUCUGAAUGUAGAUCCACGCCCGACCCUGAGUCAAGUAUAUUUUGCCACAUAUACUCUGAAUGUCGGCAGGAAAAAUCUUCCACUUUAGUUUAAAAUUUUCACUUAAAAUUUAUUUACGUUAAUAAAGUUGGUAAAGGAAAUGAGUUUAAUUAAAGAAUAUUAUAGGAGAAAUUCUAUUGUUUGGCUUUUAAUAAAUUAAUUAAUAGGUUUAAAAAGAUUAAUAUACAUCAAAAUAUUAUUAGUUGGUGGUGGUUCCACAUCGGACUAAGACGUGGCACCUUACUUGUGAGAUUAAGACAAUCAGGCUUAGACUAUUUAAAUAUGUUUGAAGCUUAGAUGGCACCGCUUCAAUUUGCAUUAAUGAAUGUCAUUCUUUACCCUAAUUACUACGUAAUUGAUAACAUGCAAUUGAAAUAACUAAUAUUAGCACUUGGCUAUAAAUGAACUAAAGGCCGUGCAAUUGAAUCUUUACUUGAUCACUUCAUUCCUUUAUUUUGCUAACACAGAUUUUGAGAUAUUAAAACGAAAUAAUAAUUGAAUCUGGCUUUGUGGGUCGAUGAUGCCAGCAACAACGAGACCACAAUUAUCACUUGUUUAUUUGCUGUAUUUGACGUUGUUUCAUAUUGGUAGUAAUAACUAAUAAGGUCGUUGUAGAGUUUUUAAUCUUUUUUUUUAUAUUAAUCACGAGGUAUCCUGGGGAGGGCCCCAACUGUGGGAGGCACCUUUAAGCUCGUACCACAACCCAGACUAGAAGUCCCCGCUCGAACCGGGAGGCACAGUUUUUAAUCUUUUUUAUAUUAAAGUUAAGUCAAUUUGUUAUAAAUAAAUAAAAAAUUGGUUGAGUUUAAUUAUAUUGCUAUGUACAUUAAAUAAUUAUAAUAUUCUCGAGGGAAAAAGACACCUAGAACCUCAAGGUUUGGGGAAAUGGUCACAAAAACUCCUAAGUUUUAAAAAAGGAACACUAAAAUCUUUUUUUACCCAUAAUACCCUUUGACUAUAGUAAUUAGAAAAUUGACUUUAAAGGUUUUUAAAUAAUACAAAUUUAAUAUAAAUCAUAUAAUCUAUCUAGUACACUAAUAAUAUUAAAUUAUUUUUUAUAUUUAAAAUAAUGUUAAAAAAUUUAAAUUAUUAUAUUUAUUUUAAUAAUAUAUUUAUAAAAUUAUAAAGAUUUUAAAUAAAUCUUUGGAUUGAAUAUAUUUUACAAUUAAAAGUCUUCCUAUUAAUAAUAUUAAAAUUAAAUUUUAAGUAAUAUAUAUUCAAAAUAUUUUUAAUUUAAUUUUAUUUAUUUUAAUAUUAUGUUUCUAUCUAUUAUUAAAAAUUACUUUAAUAUAAUAAAAUAGGUCUAAUAGAUUGAAAAAUAUGAAAAUAUUUUUAAAAUUUUAAAUUAUUUUGAAAUGUAUAUAUUAUUACAUUUAUUUCAAUGUCAUAUUUCCAUUUAUUAUAAAAUUUUGGGGUUAUUUUUUUGGGAAUUUAUAGAGUCAAAGAGCAUUAUGGUUAAAAAAGAGUCUUGGUGUCCCUUAUUGAAAACUUUAGAGUUUUUGUGACCAUUUUCCUAAAUCUUGGGGGUGUUGAAGUGGCACUUAUUGUAAGAUUGAUUUUAAAAUAUGUAAAAUUAAUUUUAUUACAUUACCAUAUGCUACAUCACCUGAAACUUAAUAAAUGGAACGUAGCAUUACUCCACGUUCACCGUUAUGACCUUAUGACAUUAGAAUUAAAAUCUUUCGUACGUUUAAAUUGUUUACUUCCAAAUUAAUCUUUCGUAAAUAUUUUGUACAGAUCUUAUCGGAGUUAGCGUGUUCAUUACAGUGUUUCUUUUCUUUUAUCCUUUCUUUUGAAACGUAUUUCCUGUGGACAAGGAAAGCAAAUAAUACCCUGCCACCAGGACCUCGCGGCUUGCCUGUAAUCGGAUACCUUCCAUUUCUCGGAAUUACUGACUUACACAAGACAUUCACGGAAUUAGCUGGUCUAUAUGGCCCGAUCUUCAAACUCUGGCUUGGCAACAAAUUGUGUGUAGUGGUUAGCUCGCCUUCAACUAGUUCUAUAAGAAUAUCCCUUUUAAGGGAUUCUCUCUCUGCAAAAUUUUUUUAUCUUCUGGUGCAUAAUAAAAACUUAUGCCACUUCAUUAACCACAGAUAUCUUUUGAGGAAACGAUGUUUCGUUUUCUUUUGUUUUUUCCUUCCUAAUCCUCGCAUAUCGUGUGAAGGCUAAUAUAUCCAAGAAUCUAAAUCUCUGUAAAUCUUUUUCUAUCCAAAUCUACAUAAUAAUUUAAUCCAUGCACAAUAUCUAUAAUUAUAUCGGCUGUCGGCUGAUUUCGUGGAGGGGGCGGCAGUUCAAAUUUUUUACGUGCAUGUUGGAUGGACGUCUCUAUUAAAGGAGAGCCACCACUUGCAUGGUAAUUUUUUUAAAUAAAUAUAUACAUUUCAAAAUAUUAUUUCAUUGUUGUAUAGUUAACAUGUCACCUUAGAUGUAUUUUAGAACUUCUCCUAUUAAAGAUAAUCUCAUGCAGUGAUACUUCUCGUGAUCUAAUCAUUAGUAGAAUCUAUAAUUUCGCUACUGUAAUAAAAUCUGUCCCUACCCUAUAUGAAUGUAGAUAUUUGACGCGAUUUGUAAUUGCUUCCGACAGGAAAACAGCAAUAGUUUAAUUGAAAUUUGUGGUAUGGAUUCCACGAAUCUUAUGACAGAAUACUGACCACUCCAACCCUAUCCACAUUUACACGAUUAAAACACAAGCUUAGAUGUGACAAUGCAUUUGUCACUUUUGUUCAAAUUCAUCCUGAAACACUAUACACUAAAUAAUCGAAUAUGGCUUCGUGGGUCGAUGAUGCUAGCAGCAACGAGACUGCAAUUAUCACUUGUUUUGUUGCUGUACUUGUCGUGGUCUAUUUCGCAUGGAAUGUAAACAAAUCAAGUAAAGCAAAUGCUAAAUUGCCACCAGGAUCUCGGGGCUUGCCAGUAGUCGGAUACCUCCCAUUUCUUGGAACUACUGACUUACACAAGACAUUCACGGAGUUAGCUGGAGUUUAUGGUCCGAUCUUCAAGAUUUGGCUUGGGAAUAAAUUGUGUGUAGUGGUGAGCUCGCCUACCCUAGUUAAACAAGUGGUCCGUGAUCAAGAUAUAACAUUCUCAAACCGCGACCCACCGAUCGCUGGAACUGUGACCACCUACGGUGGCAAUGAUAUUGCACUUUCCAAUUAUGGUCCCGAAUGGAAAAAGUUGCGAAAAUUAUUUGUGAGCAAGAUGAUGAGUAAUGCAACCCUUGAUGCUUGUUAUGCUCUAAGAAAACAAGAGGUUAAAAAUACUAUCAGGGAUUUGUACAACAACAAUAAGGAUAAUAUUGGCAGUGGCAAUGGCAAGCCCAUUGACGUUGGUGAAUUGUCGAUUUCAACUUUGGUACGUGUUAUGCAGAACAUGCUGUGGGGUCAAGCAUUGGAAACAAGAGAGAAAGAGAUUACUAAUCUCGGGGCUAAUCUUGCAGAACUCAUGGUGCUACUGGGAACACCAAAUAUUUCGGAUAUUUUUCCAGUGCUUUCAUUGCUUGACAUGCAAGGUAUAGAGAGAAGAGCUAAGAAGAUUUCUCUAUGGUUUGAAAACAUUAUCAAUUCUGGUGUUGAACAGUAUAGAAACAAGUUUUCUGUUGUUAAAGGUGAAGAAGCUGCAGCAGGAAAAAAUAUUGAACGAUCAAGAAAUAAGGACUUCUUGCAGUUACUGUUGGAGCUUCAGGAAAAUGAAGAUAGUGCUUCAUCUAUUAGCAUGAACCAACUAAAGGCCGUGCUCGUGGUAUGUUAAGCAACUAGACACAAAAAGUUGUAAAAGCACAGUGAUAUAUUUGCGCGAGGCCGCGAGUGAUGUUUUGCCUCGAGAACUCUCAAUUUUAUCUUACGGUAAAAAAUGUUUUUCAACUUUUUUUAAUUAGAAUUUUAUUGCAAUUUAUUUAACAGGACAUAAUUGUGGCCGGAACCGACACCACAACUACGAUGGUGGAAUGGACAAUGGCAGAGUUGAUGCAACAUCCACAAGUAAUGAAGAAAGUUCAAGAAGAAUUAGCUCAAGUUGUGGGCAUGGACAGUUGUGUUGAAGAAUAUCACUUGCCUAAAUUAAAUUAUUUAGAUGCUGUGGUGAAAGAAACAUUUCGUUUGCAUCCUGCGUUGCCCUUAUUGGUACCUCGCACGGCAAGCGAGAACAGCAAUAUUGGUGGCUAUACCAUUCCCAACGACACUAAUUUUAUGUUGAAUGUUUGGGCUAUUCACAGGGAUCCUCAACUUUGGGAUAAUCCCUUAGAUUUUCGACCUGAGAGGUUCUUGAAUGAUGAUAUCAUAAGCAAAUUCAAUUACUCGGGUAACAAUUUUCAGUACUUGCCAUUUGGUUCUGGUAGAAGGAUGUGCGCUGGCAUUCCUCUAGCUGAGAGGAUGUUGAUGCUUGUUCUGGCUUCGUUGUUGCACUUGUUUGAGUGGAAAUUGCCCCCGGGCACAAAGCUAGACUUAGCUGAAAAGUAUGGGAUUGUCAUGCGGAAAAAAGAGCCUCUGAUUGCUAUUCCAACACCAAGGCUACCAAAUUCAGAUCUCUACCAGUAAGAUCAAAAUGGUUGUGAUGAUAUUAUUUCCCAUUGUAUUGGAAUAUUUUUGUGUGAUUUGAAGUUCAAUCAUAAUAAAAUAUUUUAAUAAAAUGUCCUCGGUUGCUAAUUUUUCAAUAGUAUACUCUAUCAUCGUUUCUAACUGUCUUUUAGAGCCAUUUGGUCUAAUUUAUUUUUGAAUUAAAAUCCAUAAAUAUUUAAAUUUUUGAAUCAUAUUAAGAAUUAUCUGGAGUGUAUGGUCUGAUCUUCAAGUUCUGGCUUGUAAACAAAUUAGAGUUCUGAUAUUUGCCCCGGGUCAAACCCCGAAAUUAAAUAAAACGGCGUCGUUUUGUUUUUUUUUUUUUUUUUUUCUUUUUUACUUCUUCCAAACGUUGCCAUUUCACUUGUCAUUUGCAAGUGACUCCAUUGAUCCUUAGUUGAAACAGAGUUACACCGUAAAUCUCUUCCUCUUCGUUUCUUCGUUUCACCAGGGAACGAGACAGAUAAAAUCCAGCCAUUCUUCGACAUAACAAGAUAUCGAUUAGAAUCCAACGACAUAACUAUAAACCAUGACAUUGCGCUUGAUUUUGCGAAAUACCGAUUAAGAACCAGUAACUUUGAAUCCAAUGACCGUUAAGAGUUUGAAAUUGGUUUCAAAUGACUAAUGAGUUAUCAGAUUUCUUUGCGUCUACAUUUUCCUUGAAGGUUUCUCAGCAGCCAAACAAAUACAAAGCAAAUUGCAGAAGAAACACAUUUUGUUCCAAUGAAAAAUGUACGGAAACAUUUUAAAUAUGGAAAAUUACCUCAAAAUGAAGGCUCGCAAGAGAUUCGAGCAACAAAUUAGAUCAAAGGAACCGGCGCUGAGCAAGAAAGUGAGCUCAAAGAUUCCGAAACACAAACGUAAAUUCACAAAAAUGCAAAUCUAUGAUGAACGCCAAGAUCAAAAUUUUCGAAGAAAGGGAGCUGAAAAAAUAAAUGAAACGUCAAACUAGAUGACAAUGGAUUUGCUUCUUCAAAGGAGACAAUGAAAUUGUUACUAGAGACAGCUAGAGAAAUAGAGAGAGAGAGAGAGAGAGCUUGAAUUGGCUGUACCCCCACCAGAAAGUGGGUAGUGCCUUUUCCACUUGGACUUGAUAUGCGAAUCUGAAAAAAUCUGAACGAAGGACUGACUCAUCCCAGCUCGAAAGCAAACCAAGCUAGGACUGACUGAAAACGUUGCCGUUUGGAGAAGUUAAAAAAAAAAACUAAACAAAACGACGCCGUUUUGUUUAGUUUCGGGGUUUGACCCGGAAUUUGACCCGGGGCAAACAUCAUUUUCCAACAAAUUAUGCAUGGUCGUGUACACGCUUUCCCUAAUUAAGCAUGAGGUUCGUGAUCAAGGCACAACAUUCACUCCCUGCGACCCAACAAUCGCUACAUUGUUUGCCACCUAUAGUGCCAACGAUUUUGCACGGUCCAAUUAUGGUCCCCAAUCGAAAACGUUGCGCAAAUGUUUUCUGGGCAAGAUGAUAAGUAACGCAAGCCUUGAUGCUUGUUAUGGUCUAAGAAAACAAGAGGUUAAUAUAUAUAUAUAUAUAUAUAUAUAUAUAUAUAUAUAUAUAUAUAAAUUGGCAUUGUCAACUUUUGUAUGUUUUAUUCAGAACCCGCUGUGGGUUGACGCUAGCAUGCUUGCGUUAGGAGACGAGGGGACCAAUCUUGGGGCUGAGCUAAAAUAUAAGCUUGUAGAGAUCAUCUUGCUAAUGGUAAUGUUUUCCGAUGCUGGUUUAAUUCAUGGUAUAAAAAGGAGAACAAAAAAGAUUUUUCUAUGCUUUGAAAAUAUUAUAAUUUUUAUUUUAUAAUUUUUAAUAAAAUCUCUCAUUGAUAGCCAAACAAUUAAAAUUUUUGUAAAGCUUUUGUGGACUUUUGAUCGCGUAUGGUGCCAAUGUAUUGCGUGGUCCUAUUAUGGUUCCAAAUGGAGAAAGUUGCACAAGUUUUUUGAGUACCAGAAGAUCAGUAAUGUAAGCCUUGAUGGUUGUUAUGGUCUAAGAAAACAAGAGGCUAAAAAUUCUAUCUGGGAUUUUUAUAACAACAACAAAAUUGGCAAGCCCAUUGACAUUGGUGAAUUGUCAGUUUCAACCUUGGUAAGUGCGAUUCAGAACAUGCUGUGGGGUGAAACGCUUGAAAUAACAAAGAAAUGGAUUUACUAAUAUUGGGGCUGGGCUAAGAUUUAAGCUUGCAGAACUCACGGUGCUAGAGGGAACACCGAAUAUUUUGGAUAUCUUUCCAGUGCUUUCAUGGUUUAAUAUACAAGGUUUUCAGAGAAUAGCAAAGAAGAUUUCUCUAUGGUUUUAAAAUAUUAUCAAUUCUACUGCUGAACGCUAUAGAAACAACGUCUCUAUUGUCAAAAGUGAAGAAGCAGCAGCAGCAGGGAACAAUAUUGAAGGAAGGAAUAAGGACUUGGUGCAGUUACGCUUGGAGCUUCAAGGUAAAGAAGACAAUGCUUCAUCAAUUAGCAGGACGCAAUUUAAGAGCUUGCUCGUGGUAUGUUGCGCAACUAGCCACAGACAGUUACAGAAACUGAGUUUGGCAGAUUACGACCGUUUCUGGUGAUUACAUAAUUAUUUGUGGCUGUUUUUUUUUUUUAAUUGUAAUUUUCUUAACAGGAUAUAAUUUAGGGUGGAACCAACACCACAACUAUAAUGGUGGAAUGGACAAUGGCAUAAUUGAUACAGCAUCCACAAGUAAUAGAGAAUGUACAGGUAGAACUAAAUCGGGCCGUGGCCAUCGACAGCCAUGUUGAAGAAUUUCACCUAGCUAAGUUAAAAUAUUUAGAUGCUGUGGUGAAAGAAACAUUCUGCACUGUAAUAUAAUACAUGAAUCAUAUGUCCUCUAUUGUUUUUUUAUUUUUCUCUUUUUUUCAAUAGCUUAAUCUAUCAUUAAAAUCUUCUGAAAUUCUAAAUUAAUAUACAUUCAACCUAGAGUUCAAGCCAAAGUUUUAUUGAGCAUUAAAAAAAAAAAAAAUUCUACGACUCAAAAUUUUGUGGAGUAUAAAUUAAAAAUUAUGCGCCUACUAAGAGACAAAAAAUAAAUGAUACACAUUAACCAAUCAAAGGCGAACAAGAGAUUAUUAACAAUAACCUAAUAAUAAAAUUAUAAUGAAUAAAAAAGAAAUGGUACCUAGAAACACAUCACAGCCAUUUAAGCAAUCACUUACCCACAAAAUCCAAACAUAUAAACUAUGUGGGGGGGGGGGGGGGGGGGGGGGGUGUCAUGAUACCUUUGGGUUUCAUGAUAAUCAAAAUUGCAAUACCAUUAAAGACUCAAAAAUAAAAAAAAUCAUAGCCAAUAAAAGAGAAAAAAUAACCCACAAAAAAUCAUCAAGAAAAUAAAUUUGAGACUAAGAGAAGAUAUUAAUUAAACCCUGGGUUGCCUUGGAACCACGGCUUUGGCUUCCAUUUUUCAAUUCUUGGCGACAAGUCAUUUCUUGUUUGUUUACAAAGAUGACGGCUGAUUAAUGAAGCUCUAUUAACAAUGAAUAAAUAAAAAAACUGGCGCCUUGAAAAGACUAACGGUCAUAUUUUUCAACUCCGAAUUAGUGCCGUUUGAUGAGUCCUUGCCAAAACAAUCACUAGGCAAAUAACAAUCAUUUUUCAACCAGCAAAACUCAUUCAUUGUAUUUCACCUUAGUCAAGAUUUAAAAAUUGUUUCAAAAUAAACCUAGUGGUUAGAACCCAAGCGUCACAAUUGUGAGGUCAUGGGUUUGAGCCCCCACAACGUAUUGUGGGGGUUAAUUUUCUUCUUCAAUUUGAGUGAAAACAGUUCUCUCCCUUUCGAAAUGUGGGUGGAGUGGACGUCCCUCAAAUAUUAGAGAGGGUUCAAAUUUGGAUUGUACUAUAUAAGAUUUAUAAAUUAGUCCCAGUAAUUAUCUGAUUGUAAAUAUCAAUAUACUAAUCUAAUUAAAUAUGAGUUGUAAUAUGAGCGUUAGUCUCAUGUAAUUAAAAAAAAAAUGUUUCAAAAUAGGAUUCUUAAAAGGUUGGGGAAAUGGCCAUCAAUAUCCCCAACUUUCCAAAAAGAGACACCAAGACCCAUUUUGACCAUAAUACCCUUUACUUCUAUUAUCCCCAAAAAAUUGACUCUAAUGUUUUAUAAUAAAUAAAAAUAUAACAUUAAAAUAAAUGUAAUAGUAUAUACAUUUUAAAAUAGUUUCAAUAUCUAAAAACCAUUUUAAUAUUUUAAAUCCUAUUAUAUAUAUAUUAAAGUAAAUUUUAUAAUAAAUAGAAUCAUAAUAUUGAAAUAAAUGCAUUAAAAUUUAAAUUAUUUUUAAUAUUAUGUAAAAUAAUAAUUUUAUCAUUAUAAGUAUAUGAGAAUUUUUUUAAUUGUAGAAUGUAUUUAAUGCAAAUAUUUAUUUAAAAUCUCUACAAUAAAUAAAAAUAUACUAUUAAAACAAAUCUCUACAAUAUAUACAUACAUACAUAUACAUUGGCCUGGUAUUUUAUUUUUCAUUUUUUAAACUUAUUAAAUCCUCUAACUAUCAUUUGAUUAUUUUUUUCAAUGAUGAAGAGGCCAUUGCCGGAUAAAUUAUUAAAAUCAACUAGUUCUACAAGAAUGUCCCUUUUUAAAGGAAGAUGAUUCUCUCUCUCGAAAUUUUUUAUCUUGUGCUACAAACUAAAAACUUAUGCCAUUUCAUUAACCACAGAGAUCUUUGAGGAAAUGAUGCUUCGCCCCCCCCCCCCCCCCCCCCCCCCCCCCCCCCCCCCCGCGGCGCCAAAAAGUGUCCUUCCAUAUUUUGUGAAGGCUAAUACAUCGAUGAAUCUAGAUUUCUUUAAAUUUUUUGUUUUACUCAAUUCGAGAUAAUAAAUAGUUUAUCUUUAUUAAAUCUUUACUUUAACAAUGAUAGAUAUUCAAUCCAUGCAAAUAUCUAUCAUUGUAUGAGCUGAUUGCGUGGAGGGAGCGGUAAUUGAAAUCUAAUUGAAAACAGCAGAAGGCUGUUCUUGACAGAUCUCAAAUAUAUUACGGACACGUUGGGAGACAUCUCUAUCAUAGAUAUCCCCAUGCAGUGAUAUUUGUCGUGAUCUAAUUUUUAGUAAAUCUGUAAGAGAGAUUGUAACAUCUUUCAAGUUUUUUGGUUUGAUAUUCUAGACGAAAACGGUUUGUCGUUUCUUGAGCAAACGGCUAACCGUUUAAGUCCAGAGAGCAUGUUUGUUGUUCUGGAUAAAACGGCUCACCGUUGUUGCGAAAACGGCUAACCGUUUAACUCAAGAGAGCAUGUUUUAUGUUCUAGAGAAAACGGCUCACCGUUAUUGAGAAAACGGCUAACCGUUUAUUUACAGAGAGCAACGUAUUUGAUAUUCUGGAAUAAAAUGGCUCACCAUUUAUUGAGAAAACGGCUAACUGUUUAUUUCCAGAAAGGCGUCAAUUAGAAAAACGGUUAGCAAGAAUGAAAAUUUCAAUUGACAAUCGAUGCAAAUUCAAACCAAAAGAGUGUCUUCGAAAAAGUACCAUUUCUAAUGGUUGUAUUCUUUCAAAUAAACAUCUUCUUCAUUAAAGAAAUACACACAAUUAGAUUGAUAAUCAGAUUUUGACAGGUUUCUUAUAUGUUCUGGAAAUACAAUCUUAUUUGCUAGAGAUUGUAUUCAGGAUUUGUUAUAUCUUGGGGGUAAUUUGCCAUUAAAACUAUAUAGCAAACCAAGAUUGGUGAGGGCAAAUAAAACCUUAAAGGAAAGUAUGCAAACACGUCUCAAAUCCUAUGAAACUUUCUUUGUUCUUUGCCUCCAUAUUCUUAUUAUUCACUAACAAAAUCCCCAUGCAGUGAUAUUUGUCGUGAUCUAAUUAUUAGAAAAAUCUAUGAUUUCGCUACUGUAAUAAAAUUUGUCACUACUCUACAUUAAUCUAAAUGUCUGAUGAGAUUUGUAAUUGCUUCCGACGGGAAAACAGUUAAUAGGUUGAUUGAAUGUAUGUGGUAAAGAUUCCACGUAUCUCACGACAGAAUGCUGACCACUGGAACCCUAUCUACUUUUACGCGAUUAAUUCACGAGCUUAGGCACGACAAUUGCAAUACAAAUUAUCCCUUCAUCAUAUAUUUCGUUAAAAUUCAUUCUGAAGCACUAAAACUAAACAAUCGAAUAUGGCUUUGAGGGUCGAUGAUGCCAGCAGCAAUGAGAGUGCAAUUAUCACUUGUUUAGUUUCUGUGCUUGCCGUGGCUUAUUUAGCAUGGAAUGUGAAAAAAUCAAGGAAAGCAAAUGCUAAACUGCCACCAGGACCUCGCGGCUUGCCUGUAGUCGGAUACCUCCCAUUUCUCGGGACUACUGACUUGCACAAGAAAUUCACGGAAUUUAUUUUACUAUUAUAUUUAUAUUCAAAAUAAUUUUAAUUAGCUUUUAAAAUGAAUGAUUUUAGGAAAUUAUAAAUAAAGGUAACUAAGAAUUCUCUUAAUGUAAUAUAUUAUUAAUUAGUUUAAAAAUACAAAUUUAUUAAUUAGAGAAAUUAUUAGUGAAUUUAAAUUAAUGAUCUUAAUGAUUUGUUUGUACGAUUGCCCCCAAUCAAAGGUAAUUUUCCUAAAAAUUAUUAGGAAAUUAGAGAAAUUUAAUUUUUUUAGUGGGUUCAAUUGCCCACACACCCCGACUGAAGCAUUUUUUACAAUAUGUACUCCGUUUGUCGGCAGGAAAAUAAAGGUCUUGACACAUGAUCACUUCACUCCUUUAUUUACUUUGCUAACGCAGAUUUUGAGGUAUUAAAACAAAUAAUAAUUGAAUAUGACUUUGUGGGUCGACGACGCCAGCAACGAGGAGACCGCCAAUUAUCACAUUUUAAGUUUGCUGUAAUUGCCGUUGUUUUAUAUUAGUAGAAUAUUAGUGAUAAGAUAAUUGUAGAGUUUUCAUUUUUUUAAUAUUAAAAUCAAGUCAAUUUAUUAUAAUAAAUUUAGUUGAAUUUAAUCGUAUUACCACAUAAAUUGAAUAAUAAUAGAAUUCUCGACAAUAUUUCAAUAUUUUAAUCUCAAGCAUUGGAGUGGCAUUUAUUUGUUAUACGGUCGAUUUUAGAAUUUAUAAAAUUAUUCGUUGCUGAAUUGCACCAUAUGCUGCAUAACCUGAAACUUAAUAAACGGAACGUAGCGUUGGCACCGUUACUCAACAUUCACUGUUACGACUUUGUGACAUUAGAAUUAAAAUCUUUUCCACAUUUAAUUUGUUUACUUCCAACUUAAUAUUUAACAAAAUGUAUGUUAGCAUUGUAUGCCAUAUCAUCUGUAAUUUUGUCAGGAUCGAUCAUUCUAAUUUUUAAGCAGAACUUUUUGUCAAUGGACAAACACCUCAUACAGCUUGUCAGAGGCAUUAGUAUGAUGUAAAAUUGUAAUGGUAUAUCUUGAAUUAUUUUAGAAUAGUGAAUAACUAUUUGGAGCAAUAAAAACAAAUAAGACAGAUGAGAAAAUGGCUAAAAUUAUAUAAGUGACCCAAAAUUUUUUGCUAUUUCCAAGAAAUCCCCAAUCUGAAUGGACCAGAGGGAGGCAAGUUAGAAAUACAUUUCCUUCAUAGACAAUAACAACGAUGAGUGGAUGACAUCAAACCACGUUGGUAUCAAUAUUGAAAUAAAGGUGCAAUUAUUCAGCCAAUGAGCCUUAGUACACAUCAAGAUAUAUAAAAGUCAAGAAAAUGAAAAUUUAUCCCAAUUAAAACUCUUUCUGGCUGCAUUUAGCUGUUUCUGUUUAGGGAUGGCAAUUUAAUCCGGACCCAGCCCGACCCGGAUGAAUCCAGAAAAUUCGGGGUGGAUUCAACCCGUACCGGAGUGAAUAAAAUCUGAUAUUCAAAUUCAAUAUUUUCAACCCGGACGUUUCCGAGUCCGGAUCCGGAUUUGGGUAAACCCGCAUAUCCGGAACCCGGAUCCGGAUAACUAUUUUAAUAUUAAUUUUUAAAUCAUUUUAAAAUAAAAAAAAAUUAGAAAAAAUCAGCCCUAAUGCCCUUCCACAGCCACGGCAGCCAAACCAAACCCAGACAUUUCCUCUCUCUCUCUUUAGCCCUUCUUUUCAACAAAUCAUCAUCGUUGCUCAUCAUCGUUUCGUCGUGUUCAUCUUCAUCUUCAUCAUCAGCUGCCGUUUGUCCAGCUAUGUCACUAGUUUUGGCCGCCGUUUCCGUUUGUGCACCUUCGCAAAUCGGGAUCUCGAUUUGGCCGCCAACACUUCUACCCCCUGGUGUUUUGCUUUGUCCUCGACAACUUCUUUGUUGAUAAAUUGACGGGCACUUAUGAAUGCAUUUGUCUCUGUUUCUUCAUUUACACCUUCCCAGUUGUUUGUUCAUUUGCUUUUUGGAAGGAAAAAAAAAAAAAAUCAGCCACCAUUUAUCCUUCCCCUUUUCUUGACCUAACCCCACAAAGCCCAAUUUGUCAUCAUCAUUCAUUGGCAAAUUUGUUAUCAUCAUGGUUGAGACAUCAUGAUUAUCUUUGAUAAUUGAAUUUGUGUAAUAUGUUACCUUGGAUUUUAUUUCUAAGUAUUUGAUUUUGAAUUAUUUUCCAUUAUUGGUGUUAAUAGAUAGAAGAUUAGAAAGGAAUUCUUCACUGAAUAAAGAGAUGGGAAAUUGCAUCUUUUAGCAAUCAUCCGGGUUAUAAACCCGGAAUCCGGAAACCAGGAUUUUUCCGGGUUUAACCCAGUCCGGACCCGAAUGAAAAAUAUCCGGGUUUACAUCCGGGUCUGGUAUUAAAAUUUAUCGUCCGGAUCCGGAACAGGGAAGACAAAACCCGGACCCGAACCCACAUUUUGCCAUCCCUAUUUCCAUUUGAAGUUAACAACAACGUUUCUUUCGUUUUGUGGGCGACUUGACUGAGCCAGCUGGAUUCUAGUGCUAGUAUGUGAAAAUAGAAGGCUAAUGAUUUCACGUUCACUAGCCCACCUCCCCUCCUCUCGUUUCCUCUGAAUCAAUUUUCACGUGUGGUACCGAUUGAAAAUAUCUCUGACAUUUCGUGGACAUCUCUAUUGAAAAUAUCUCAGACAUUUCACUCAGGCAAACUUAUUAAUAUAAAAAAUCUAUGAUUUUUUCGUCUUAUACUGUAGAAAAAUUUGUCUAUACAUUAAUCUAGAUGUUUGAGGUGGUUUAUACAUCUGUGGUAUAGAUUUAUAGGUUGAUUGAUACGUCUGUGGUAUAGAUUUUAUGUAUUUCAUUAUCAAAUGCUGGCCUUUGGGACCCUAUCUACAUCUAUUUAUAAAACUAACGGGUGCCAGUUAUGCCAUUACAAAUUAUCCCCUCUUCAUACAUUUCCUUAAAAUUCUUCUGAAACACCAAAACUAAAUAAUCGAAUAUGGCUUUGCGGGUCGAUGAUGCCAGCAACAAUGAGGCUGCAAUUAUCACUUGUUUAGUUUCUAUGCUUGCCGUGGUUUAUUUCGUAUGGAAUGUGAACAAAUCAAGGAAAGCAAAUGCUAAACUGCCACCAGGACCUCGCGGUUUGCCUGUAGUCGGAUACCUCCCAUUUCUCGGAACUACUGACUUGCACAAGAAAUUCACGGAAUUAUCCGGAGUUUAUGGUCCGAUCUUCAAGCUCUGGCUCGGAAAUAAAUUAAGUGUCGUGGUGAGCUCACCUUCCCUAGUUAAACAAGUGGUUCGUGAUCAAGAUACAACAUUCGCAGACCGUGACCCGCCGAUCUCAGGACUAGUGACCUCCUUUGGUGGCAAUGAUAUUACAUGGUCCAAUUACGGUCCCGAAUGGAGAAAGUUGCGCAAAUUUUUUGUGGGCAAGAUGAUGAGUAACGCAAGCCUUGAUGCUUGUUAUGCUUUAAGAAAACAUGAGGUUAAAAAUACUAUCAGGGAUUUGUAUAACAACGGCAACAAAAUUGGUAAGCCCAUUGACAUUGGUGAAUUGUCGAUUUCAACAUUGGUAUGUGCUAUGCAGAACAUGCUGUGGGGUGAAGCGCUUGAAUUAAAAGAGAAAGGGACAACUAAUCUUGGGGUUGAGCUAAAAUUUAAGUUUGCAGAACUCAUGGUGCUACUGGGAACACCGAAUAUUUCGGAUAUCUUUCCAAUGCUUUCUUGGCUCGACAUACAAGGUAUAGAGAGGAGAGCAAAGAAGAUUUCACUCUGGUUUGAAAAAAUUAUAAAUUCUACUGUUGAAAAGUAUAGAAGCAAGGACUUUAAUGUUGAAGGUAAAGAAAGAGCAGGGGAAAAUUUUGAAGGAUCAAGGAACAAGAACUUCUUGCAGUUACUAUUGGAGCUUCAAGAAAAUGAAGACGGUUCUUCCUCAAUUAGCAUGAACCAAUUUAAGGCCGUACUCGUGGUAUGUUAAGAAACUAGCCGCAAACAGUUAUACAAGCACAGCUGUAUAUUUUGCAUGAGUGAUAUUUUCAACCUUUUUUUUUUAUAAUUAGAAUUUUAUUGUAACCUUUUGGACAGGAUAUAAUUACGGCUGGAACCGACACCACAACUACGAUGGUGGAAUGGACAAUGGCAGAGUUGAUGCAGCAUCCACAAAUAAUGAAGAAAGUUCAGGAAGAAUUAGCUCAAGUUGUGGGCAUGGACAGUUGUGUUGAAGAAUUUCAUUUGCCUAAAUUGAAAUAUUUAGAUGCUGUGGUGAAAGAAUCGUCUCGUCUGCAUCCUGCAGUGCCUUUAUUACUACCACGCAGAGCAAGCGAGAGUGGCAGCAUUGGUGGCUAUAACAUUCCCAAAGAUACAACUAUUAUGUUGAAUGUUUGGGCAAUCCACAGGGACCCUAAACUUUGGGAUAAUCCCUUAGAAUUUCGACCCGAGAGGUUUCUAGAUGAUGGUAUCGCGAGUAAGUUCGAUUACUCAGGUAACAAUUUUCAGUACUUGCCAUUUGGUUCUGGUAGAAGGAUGUGUGCUGGGAUUCCUCUAGCUGAGAGGAUGCUGAUGUUUGUUUUGGCUUCGUUAUUGCACUCAUUUGAGUGGGAAUUGCCAGCUGGCACAAAGCUAAACUUAUCUGAAAAAUUUGGGAUUGUCAUUAAGAAAAAAGAGCCUUUAGUUGCUAUUCCAACACCAAGACUAUCCAAUUCAGAGCUCUACCAUUAAGACAGAAUGGUUGUGAUGAUUUUGUUAAUUUCCGAAGAUUUGUAUGUUAUGUCAAGUUCAAUCGUAAUAAAAUAUUUCAAAUAAGAGUCCUCCGUUGCUUUUUUUUUUUUUUUCAACCGCAUAAUCUGUCGUCAUGCUUGUAUUUGGGGCUACUUUGGAAUAAUUAUGUUUGAAUUACAAUAUAUAAAUAUUACAUUUUAAAAUUUUAUGAGAUUCUAAAUUUAUACACGUUCAAUAACCCACUUCAUAUAUGUUUAACACAAUUUAUAUCAUACAUUGUAUACCCAUUUGUCAUAAAUUACGCUAUUUUAUAUCUCUAAAUAAUAUUACAUAUUGAUAUUAUAAAAUGUUGUUAACUCACGUGUGUAUAUAUAUAUAGCAAGUCACGUGCAUAUAUUAUUGGUUGUUAUAUGUUUGCUAGUUUGAUAGGAUUUCCUUUCCUUGUGAACUAGGGUAAUUCUUAUGUACAUAUAAAUAUUGAUCAAUAAGAGUGCAGAUGAUGACUGCAGUUUUGCAUCGUAGAAAUUCUUCGUAAAAUAUAUAUGUUUAUCAAAAGGCUAUACCAUUCAAUAUAUAUUGGAAAGAGAACAAAGAAGAUCUUCUUAUGGUUUGAAAAUAUUAUGAAUUCUGCUGUUGAACAGUAUGGAAACAAGGUCUGUUGUUAAAGGUGAAGAAGUCACAGGGAACAAUAUUGAAGGAAGAAAUUUCACGUUUAGUUGCUGAAUUUGCCGCUGUAUUCUAUCGGUAGUAAAAAGAUUAGAGUUUUUAUUUUUCUCUAUUAAUGUUAAGUCAAUUUUCUAUAACAAAUUCGGUUGAGUUUAAUUGUGUUACAAUAUAAAUUGAAUGAUAGUAGAAUUUUCAACGAAUAAUUCAAUAUUUCUAUCUCGAUUGUUGAAGUGCCAUUUAUUUGUUAUACGAUCGAUUUUAAAAUUUAUAAAAUUAUUUGUUACUAAAUUGCAUCAUAUGCUAAAUCACCUGAAACCUAAUUUCAUAACUAACCCUUUAUUUUUAGUUCUCAAGAAAUCUUGUAAGAACAAAAUUCUUUUGUAACAAAACGUUUACAACAAAUUAAUUUGUAACUCAUUCCUGUGCGAGAAUCACUCUCAAUUUCCUUCAAUUGCUGUUUAACAAUCAUCUGCUUAUCAAAAUUCAAGCAUAAUCUUUUUUUUUAAUUUCUUCAUCAUUCUUUUGAAAAAAAAAAUCAGGAUAUGCUGUUAAAUUUUGAAAUAAAUUAUCUCAAAAUAAUUACUAACCAGAAAAAACAAAGGGGUUUAACUAGGUUAUGCAUACCUUUGAAAAUUAUAUGUUGAUCGAUAAGAAUGAUGAUCACGAUUGACGAGUUUAAUUAAAAUAUAUAAGAUUUUAAAAUUAAUCAGGGUUAAAUUGUGAAUUUUAGAAAGAGAGGUUUUGUGAGAAUGUUGAAAGGGUGUUAAUAGUUCCACUCUUUUUAAAAACAACCAUAGUCAUCAUUUUUCCAUGGUUGUUUUUAAAAAGAGUAUUUCUUCUUCCCAUCUCCAUCUUAUUUAGAAAUUUCCCAGAGCCUUUGUUUCCCACCUUUCAUUUUUCUUCUUUCUAAUUUAAUAAUCCACCCUUCUUGUAUUCAAACUAAAAAAUUAAAAUCUGAAAAUUUAAAACCCAAUAUUAUAGUAUUAUAAAAAUAAUUACUCACAUUUUAUCAAACACCUCCAUUCUUCCAAGGCCUUGUUUUAGUAGUAGGCUUUUAUUAUCUCAAUAAAAUUGAAAAAAAAAAUCUCAAUAAUAUUGGAAAAAAACCCUACCCAUAUUUGUAACUUUAAUUUAUUAUUCUCCAUAGACCUACUUUUUAGUUUUGAAUUUUGUUGGAGCCAUAUAUAAACAGAAUAUGUUGAAAUCAGCACCCAAAAAAAAAAAAACUAAUUAUAUAAUUUAUGUUCCCAAGGACAUGGCUGAGUGAUUUUCAAGAAGUUUUGUUUGGCUGGCCACUUAGGUUUAAAUCUUGGUGGAGAUUAAGGGUUAAGAAAUAAAUUUAGACUUUGCACACCCCUUUAACUUUUAAAAAGAAAUGAAAAAAUUAAUUAAUUAAUCUUUAUUUUAUUUAUUAAAUGUCAUAAUCCUAUGCGUAUUUUAUUUGUUAUCUUUCUAUUUAAAAGACGAGGGCAGAUAAAACUGAAAUAAAUUUUUAGCCCUAUCUCCAUAUUUCAAGUUCCAUAGUUAGGUGACCAGCUAAAAAAAAUUAAUUGAAAGCUACUCCAUCAAAUUAAAAAAAUUUAUUUAUUUAAUUUGUGGAGAUGUAGAAAAUCAAACCCCAUACCUUUUCGCAUACACUGAACAUAUUUUAAUACAUGACUAUCAUCCUUUAUCCUAAAUACUACUAUAACUAAUAACAUACAAUUGAAAUAAUUAAUGUUAACACUUGGCUAUAAAUAAAGGUUUUGUGCUUGAAUCUUCACGCAUGACCUUCAUUCCUUUAUUGACUUUGCUAACACAGAUUUUGAGGCAUUAAAACUAAAUAAUAAUUGACUUUGUGGGCCGAGGAUGCCAGCAACAAGGAGACCACAAUUAUCACUUAAGUUACUCUAAUUGCCGUUGUCUUAUAUUCAUAGAAUAUUAGUAAUAAGAUUAUUGCAGAAUUUUUUUAAUAUUAAAAUUAAGUCAAUUUGUUAUAACAAAUUUAGUUGAGUUUAAUCGUGUUACUACAUAAAUUGAAUAAUAAUAGAAUUCUCGACAAAUAUUUCAAUAUUUUUAUCCCAAGCGUUGGAGUGGCAUUUAUUUGUUAUACGAUCGAUUUUAGAACUUAUAAAAUUAUUCGUUACUGAAUUGCACCAUAUGCUGCAUGACCUGAAACUUAAUAAACGGAAUGUAGCGUUGGCACCGUUACUCAACAUACUGUUACGACUUUGUGACAUUAGAAUUAAAAUCUUUUGCACAUUUAAUUUGUUUACUUCAAAAUUAAUAUUUAACAAAAUAUUUUUUUCACAUUAUCAAUGGACAAAACUCCAACGAAAAUAACUACACAAGAAAAAUGUAUGCUAGUAUUGUGUGCCAUAUCAUCUGUAAUUUUGUCAGGAUCGAACACUCUAAUUUUUAAGCAGAACUUUUUAUCAAUGGACAAACACCUCACACAGCUUGUCAGAGGCAUUAUUAUGAUAGAAAACUGUAAUGGUAUAUCUUGAAUUAUUGGUAGAAUAGUUCUUUGGAGCAAUAAAAAUAGAUAAGACAGAUGAGAAAAUUGUCAAUACCCCACCGCAAAAGCAAAAGAAAAAAAGGAAAGGAGACAAAAGAGGAAGAAGAAAAAAAGGAAAGGAGACAAAAGAGGAAGAAGAAAAAGAAAAAAGAACGAAGAAAAAAAUGGUGCCGCGCUGUAUUGGGAAGAAGAAAAAAAUUAAUAAAAUAAUAAUAAAUAAUAAAUAAUAAAUAAUAAAAUAAUAGUGCACAACAAUCAUUUGAUUGCUAUAAAUAAAGGGGCAUUUUCCUCAUUUUAUUCAUCGAAUUCUUCAGUUCCUUUCAAGCGAUUUAAGAGUCUAGUGAUUUGAGAGUUUGGGAGUAUUGUGAUUUUGAGUACUAAGUUAAAAUACUAUAAUACUUGUAACUCAUUUUCACUAGUAAAAUAUUUUUCUUCUGUCUUCGCCCGUAGACGUAGGCUAAAAGCUGAACCACGUAAUUUCUGGUGUCCCUAUGUGAUUAUGUGUCUCAUUAUUUCUCAAUUUUACUUUAGUUACGUGUCUGCUACACCCUUCAAUUUACUAACAAAAAUGGCCAAAAUUAUAUAAGUGACCCAAAUUUUUUUGCUAUUUCCAAGAAAUCCCCAAUCGGAAUAGACCAAACUAGAGGGAGGCAAGUUAGAAAUACGUUUCCUUCAUAAACAAUAACAGCGAUGAGUCGAUGACAUCGAGCCACGUCGGUAUCAAUAUUGAAUUAAAGGUGCAAUUAUUCAGCCAAUGAGCCUUACACAUCAAGAUAAAAGUCAAGAAAAUGAAAAAUUUAUCCUAAUUAAAACACUUUCUGGCUGCAUUUAGCUGUUUCUAUUUGAAGUUAAAAACAACAUUUCUUUCGUUUUGUGGGCAACUCGACUGAGUUCGCUGGCUUCUAGUGCUAGUAUGUGAAAAUAGAAGGCUAAUGAUUUAUUUGUUAUCUUUUGACAAAAAAUGUUAAAGAUAUAAUAGAUUUUCCAUGAUACAAAUGAAAAAUUAUAUCAACAUAACUUCCAAGCUACAGCAGCUAGUGUUUACCAAACACUUUGCUGUAGCUUUUAAGCUACAGCUGCCCAACCUCAAUAGGUUGAUUGAAUUUGUGGGAUAUAGAUUCCACAUAUCUCAUGACCUAUUAAUUAUACAAGUGGUUCUUGAUCAAGAACAACAUUUGCUUCCGACCCAGUAACCCAGCAACUGCUGCACUGGUCGCCACCUAUGGUGCCGACGAUAUUGCAUGGUCCAAUUAUGGCCUUGAAUGGAAAAAGUUGAGCAAAUUAUUUGUGGGCACGAUGAUAAGUAACGCAAGCCUUGAUGCUAGUUAUGGUCGAAGAAAACAAGAGGUUAAGAAUACUAUCAGAGAUAUGCAUAACAACAAAAAGGAAAAAAAAAAAAAAAGGCAUUGGCAAGUCAAUUGAUAUUGCUGAAUUGUCGAUUUCAACUUUGGCAUGUGUAAUUCAGACAUUGCGCGUUGUGGUAUGGCGCUGGCACGCUUGCAUUGCCGAGAGGACAAAUCUUGGGGCUGGGCUAAAAUUUAGGCUUGUAGAACUCAUGGUGCUAAUGGGAACGCCAAAUUUUUUUAACAUAUUUCGGUGCUUUCAUGGUUUAAUUCAAGGUAUAGAAAGGAGUGUUGAGAAUGUCAAAUAAAACGACAUUGAAUGGAAGUUGUCAAAGACAUGAUCCGCACUGAACGGCAAUGACACGGUUGGUAAAGAUUUUUUCAUAAUAUGCGUAUCUAAUUUUUGAAAAAUUGUAACCUCUGCUUCUAUAAAUAUGCUCAAUGUAUAAUGUUUUACUUAAGAAAUGAAAAACUUAAUUCUUUAUGGUAUCAGAGCGAGGCUCGUUGCUCUGUUUGUAACAAAAACAAAGAAAACUAAAUUCUUCCCACAACUAUUUUUCCACCUUUUUUUCUUCCUUAAAAGCAUUCCUAGCAUUACAGAAACCCAUGCCAAUAAAAGAACAAGCCACACAUAUGUAAAAACUUUAGUUUACAAAUCUAUCAACAUCCCCAUAAAUUUUCCCAAAAAGUGAUCUUCAAAAACCAAAAAUACCAUCAAUUUUCGCAUCUUCUAGUAAACAAACUAUAAAAGUUUCGCACUCAAACAGAGCCACACGCGCCUCCACGCGCUUCCCGGAAUCACGGCCAACCACCACGCGCCUCUGUCACCACCAACUCACCCUCAUGCGCUCCAGAUGUUGCAGAAGACGCAAAACGACGUGUCGUUUUCUUCUCUAAAAGUGCAGCAACGUGGAAAUGACUUUUUGUUUUUGCCUUAAAUUGUUUUUCCUCGUUUGAAGCUAUACAACAUUUUUCUUUCUAAACCUGUUUUUUACAAUAAAAAAAGAAAAAAAUGGAGAAAACUCCAACUGAAUCUACUCAUGUUGUCAUUCAAUCUGUUCAACCUGAUGGAGUAUUUAAUGCCGAAAUUAUCCUUACUAAGACAAACUACGAUAUUUGAUCUCAAAUAAUGGAGAUGCAUCUCGCAGAAAGAAAAAAACUCCCAUAUAUUCGUAGCAGCAUAAAUCCAUCUGACAAAUUUUCAAAGAAAUAUGAGAAAUGGUAUAGUGAGAACCAAAAAGUAAAAAGAUGGUUACUCAUAACCAUGUGUCCUGAGAUCAUGAAGCGAUAGUUACAAAUUCCUACAGCCUACGAAAUUUAGAAUGCAUUAUCAAAAGCCUUUUAUAAUGGAAGCGAUGAAAUACAAGUUUUCACUCUAAAUCAGAAGGCGUUCUCUACGAAGCAAAAUGGACAACCACUCUCUAAAUUCUACGGAGAAUUGAUCAAAAUGUUUCAAGAACUUAAUCACCGAGAUAAAGUGGUCAUGAAGGAUCCAGAAGAUGUUAUAAUAUAUAGGAAGUUUGUUGGAAGAUUGAGAGUGCACAUUUUUCUUGCUGGACUAGAUGAAGAAUUUGACCAAGUUUGUGGAGAAAUUCUACGAAAAGAUACUAUCCUAGACUUAAAAGAAUGUUAUUCUCUAAUCCGAAAAGAAGAUGUACGGCAAAGCAAACUAACAAGAAGGUGGACGACUCAGAAACGUCUGCUAUGAUACCACAAGAGAACAAUGUUUUGAAAUUGUUCGAUAUCCUGACUGGUGGGAUACUCGAAGUAAUAACACAAAGCAGAGAUAAAAAACUGCAGUAGCUGAAUCCACAUCCACUACAGAUCUUAGAAAAGAAUCUUCAGCGCAAAUUGCAACCUCUGUCAAUUCAGGUAAGGUCAUUAAAACUCUUACAUUUGUUAUUAAUAGUAUAUGGAUAAUUGAUUAUGGUGCAACUGAUCAUAUGACUUUUGAUUCUUGACAAGUUUCUUAAUUGAAACCAUCUUCACAUAAACAUGUUUCUACUGUAAAUAGAACCACAACCUCAGUUAUUGGGGAAGGAUCUUUACAACUCACAAUUAAAUCAAAUUUAGACUUUGUGUUAAUUGUUCCAUCUUUAAAUUAUAAUCUUUUAUAUGUGUCUCAAAUAACCUCUUACUUAUCAUGUGUUGUAAUGUUUUGGCCCGAUCAUUGCAUGUUUAAGGACAUCCAAAUGAAGGAAACGAUUGGUUAUGAUAUUAAAUAAGGCAACUUGUAUUACCUGGAGAUGACAUCAACAAACACUGAAAAGCUAAGCCCCGCAUUAGUAGCAGACAAUUCCAUGAAAAAAAAGGAAAUAAGAAAUUUGGUUAUGGCAUAGACGAUUAGGGCAUGUGUCAUUUGAUUUCUUAAAAAAAUUGUUUCCUAGUUUGUUUCUGAAAUUUGAUAUUUGUAACUUUAAAUAUGAUGUUUGUGAACUUUCAAAUAGCCAUCGAACUACUUUUCCAUUGUCCUUAAAUAAGAAUCCAAUUCCUUUAAUGGUAGUACAUUCUGAUGUAUAGAGACCAUCUAAAGUUUCUACCAUUGGAAGAGCUCGUUGGUUUGUUACAUUUAUUGAUGAUUGUAGCAGAAUGACAUGGAUUUUUUUAUGAAAUUAAAAUCAUAUGAUGGUGACAACUCUAUUUCAGACACAAAUUUGAGUUCUACAUACUGAUAAUGGAGGCGAGUAUAUGAGCACAACAAUUCAACAGUUUUUGAAAUCACAAUGAACUCACCACCAAACCACUUGUGUGGGGACACUCCAACAAAAUGGCGUUGCUAAACAAAAAAAUAGACAUUUACUAGAAGUUGUUCAAGCAUCACUAAUUUAGGCCCGCAUGCCACUAUUUUAUUGGGGAGAAGCAUUGGCAUCCGUAGCAUACUUGAUCAAUCGGACACCUUCAAUCUUCCUUGGAUUCCAAACUUAUUUUCUAGUUCUAAAUGAAGAAUUAUGUCAUCAAAUGUGUCGAAUUUACCCCCACAUAUGUUUGGUUGUGUUGCCUUCGUUCAUUUGCCAUGACAAGAUAAAUUAUCUCCUCGAGCACUACGUUGUGUGUUUGUAGGGUAUGCCUUACAUCAAAAGGGGUACCGAUGCUAUCAUCCUCUAUUAAGAAAAAAUAUACAUCACCAUGGACAUAAUCUUUCAUGAAGAUAUCAUGUAGUACCCAUCGGAGCUUGAAUUUCAGAGGGAGUAUAAUGAAGAGGAAAUUCAUACUCUUACAUAUCUUUCACCUGAAGAAGAUCAAUCCUCCAUUGAGGUAGUAAACGUUCAAGAUACUGGAAAAGAAAACGACAAUGAUUCUCAGGCUGAGACAAGUGAAGACACAUUUAGGGAGCAAAAUAACUCAGACAUAACCACAAUCGAGAACGAGUCCAUGAAGAGCCACAUGAAGAAAUAUCUAACCAAUCAUCUGCAGAGGAUGAUCCUACCACAAAUCCCAGUCUAAUCAGAAGAAUACUUCCCCAGCAUCAAAAUAGAGGUAUCUCUAAACCCACAUAUAAGACUGACCUCUCUAGUAGAGUCAAAUACCCUAUGAGUCAUUUUGUAUCUAACCAUGGCUUAUCAAAAUCAAAUCAGUCAUUUGUGAAUCAAUUAUCUACUGUGUCUAUUCCUAACAGUGUGCAAUAAGCCUUAAAAUAUCGAAAGUGGAAAGGGCUAUGAAUGACGAAAUGAGAUCUCUUUAAAAAAAAUCAAACAUGGGAACUAAUUGAUCUUCCACCAGGAAAGAAACCAGUGGGUUGCCGAUGGAACUAGUUGAUCAUCCACCUCCAUUCUGACAAGCAAUGUUUAUCAGCAAUAACAAAUGACUGAAGCAUUUUAAUGAGGUUAGUAACGAAAAAGAGUUUAAUUAGAGAAUAUUAUAAGAGAAAUUCUAAUUUUUGAUUUUUAAUAAAUUAAAAUAUCUUAAAAUAUUAUUAGUUGGUGGUGGUUUCAUGUCAGAUUAAGACGUGACACCUUACUAAUGAGGUCGAGACAAUUAGCUUAAAUUAUUUCAAUGCAUUUGAAAUUUCCACUAAUGACUAUAAUUCUUUGUCCUAAUUACUAUGAUAAUUAAUAACAUACAAUUGAAAUAGUUAAUAUUAGCACUUGGCAAUAAAUAAUUAAAUUUCAUUAACACUAAAUAAUAAUUGAAUAUGGCUUUGUACAUCGAUGACGCCAGCAACAAGGGGACCGCGAUUAUCACUCUUUAAGUUGCUUUUAAAAUUGAUUUUAGUAGUGAUAUGAUUAUUGUAGUGUUUUUAUUUUUUAUAUUAAAAUUAAGUGAUUUGUUAUAAUAAACUUAGUUGAGUUUAAUGGUAUUACUACAUAAAUUGAAUAGUUAUCAAAUAUUUUAAUAUUUUUAUGGCAAGCGUUGACGUGGCAUUUAUUUGUUGUAUGAUGGAUUUUAAAAUUUAUAAAAUUAUUUGUUAUUAAAUUACCCCCAGAUGCUACAUCACCUGAAACUUAAUAAAGGUAUGAAGACAUGUGUGUGUGGACUGAAAUGAAGAAUAUGGAAAAGUUGAGAGCUGUUGUGCAGAUUGAGUUCAGUUGAUGGGGUCUAUUAGAUAUUGUCUGCUGACGUGGCAUGAAUUCGUUAUAAUCUGUUAUAACGAGUUCAGUAUAUCAGUAUACAAUAGAGCUGAUGGAUGGUGCCUGUUUUAGAGUCUUUUUUAUAUUCAUUUGUUCAUCAUUUUGCGCAAGAUCUGUUCCAUUGUGAUAUGUGUAAAGUCUUAUGUAAACCCACUUAUGAUUGGAUUAGUUCUUGAUUAAUAACAACGAGUAAAUUUUCCUUCAAGUGUGCUGGUCUGUGCCCCUGUUUUUUGUUCUGAUAUUGUUUCUUUGUUCUGGCAUUUCAUUUCGAUUGUGUUCUUGGUGUUUCUACUCAUCAAGAUUUAUGAGUCUUGUUGAGAUUAAAGACUUAAUAGUCUUAACAAGUGGUAUCAGAGCCUGGUGAAUCUCAGCCAUGUCUCUUUCGAAGCAUGAAAUUGAAAAAUUCACCAUUGGUGGUGAUUUCUCGCUUUCGAAAUUAAAAAUGAGGGCUCUCCUUGUGCAUUAGAGGCUUGAAUUUGCUCUGGAAAAAGAUAAUCUAGAGGCUGCUACAAGUUAUGUGACUGAUGAUAAGAAGAGACAAAUCCAAAACCGAGCUCGUAGCACUCUAGUUUUGAGUCUUGGUGACUCAAUCUUGAGAAAGAUUUCUGAAGAGAAGACAACCUUAGGGAUUUGGAACAAGGUAGAAGCUUUGUGUACAAAGAAGUCGCUAGCUCACAGACUAUUCUUGAAGAAAAAGUUAUACACAUUCUCGAUGAGAGAAGGAGUCACAAUUCAAGAUCACAUUGAUACCUUCAACAAGAUCAUUCUUGAUCUUGAAGGGGUGGAAAAUGUGACAAUAAGUGAUGAAGAUAAAGCCUUCUUCUUGUUGAGUUCCUUACCAAAGUCUUAUGAAGGCUUUGUAGAUACAAUGCUUUAUGGCAGAACAACAUUGACUCUUGAAGAUGUUAAAGCAUCUCUAAGUUCAAAAGAGAUUCAGAAGAACAAUGAGAUUGAAACAAAUAAUGGUGAUGGGCUGAUUGCCAGAUCAGAAAAGAAGAAAGAUCAGAAGAAUAAAAAUCAGGGAAAAUGACAUGGAAAGAAUUAAGAAAAUGCAGACAAGAAGAAAAAGAAGAGAAAAUGCUUCUACUGCCGGAAGGAAGGGCAUUACAUCAGGGAUUGUCUUAAAAAGAAAAAAAAAGAAAGUCAAGAGAAGUCAGGGGAUGCAGCUGUAGCCUCUGAUGAUGCCUCUGAUGGAUAUCACAUUGCUGAUUUACUUGUGGCCUCAAAUAGCAAUACUAAAGGUCAGUGGGUCAUAGACUCUGAGUGCUCUUUUCACUUGUGGCCUGAUAAAACCAUAUUUUACAAAUAUGAAGUUGUUGAUGGUGGUAGAGUCUUAAUGGGAAAUAAUAAUGUGUGUAAUCUUGUUGGUAUUGGUUCUGUGAAGAUCAAGAUGUUUGAUGGAACUGUAAGAGCUCUACAUGAGGUGAGGCAUGCUCCUAGGCUAAAGAGAAAUCUAAUCUCUUUAGGCAUGCUAGACAGCUUAGGGUAUUUCUUUAAAUCAGAAAGUGGUGGUUUAGAGAUAAGAAAGGGGACUGAGAUAGUGAUGAAGGGGGUUAAAGAAAAUGGCUUAUAUGUAUUGUAAGGCUCAUCAGUGCUUCUUCAAAAGGGAAUUUCUGCUCUUUUUGAGGAAGAUAUAACCAAGUUAUGACAUCUUAGACUUGGUCAUAUGAGUGUCAAAGGGAUGUAAGAGCUCAGCAAACAAGGGCUACUUGGUGGGGAUAGAAUCCAGCAACUGGAAUUAUGUGAAAAUUGCAUUUUUGGCAAAGCUCACAGGUCCAAGUUUCACAAGGGGGAGCAUAUGUCUAAGCAAGUUUUGGACUAUGCACAUGCUGACCUUUGGGGGCCUGCUCAAGUCCCAUCCUUGAGUGGUGGCAGGUAUUUCAUAUCACUAAUUGAUGAUUACUCAAGGAAGAUGUGGGUCUACAUACUCAAGACCAAAGAUCAAGCCUAGGAAAAAAUUCAAGGUAUAGAAAUCUUUGGUAGAAAAUCAAUUUGGAUUCAAGCUCAAAUGCUUGAGAACUGAUAAUGGUUUGGAAUUUUGUAGCAAAGAAUUUGAGGAAUAUUACAAAAAAACAUGGCAUAAAAAGGCACAAAACAGUCAGGUUCACCCCCCAGCAGAAUGGCUUGGCUGAAAGGAUGAACAUGACCUUGGUAGAUAAGACCAGAUGUAUGUUGAUAAAUUCAAAGCUUCCAAGAAGCUUUUGGGCAGAAGCUGUCAAUACAACAAGUUGUUUGGUUAACAGAAGCCCAUAUUCUGCAAUUGGCUUCAAAACACCAGAAGAAUUGUGGAAGGAAAAACCUGUAAAUUACCAAAAUCUCAGUGUUUUUGGAUGCCCUGCUUAUCUCCACAUCAAUCAAGGCAAGCUGGAAGCUAGGGCCUUGAAAGGAGUCUUUGUUGGAUAUCCUGAUGGGGUUAAGGGAUACAUAAUCUGGUGUAGAGAGUAAGGGAAGUGUAUAGUCAGCAGGGAUGUUGUGUUUCAUGAAUUUGGAUUGCUAAAAGAAAAUGCAGAGAAUGAUACUAGACUACAAAAUGAUUCAAUAAUUAUCAAACAAUCUGGAACUUCCAAGGUUAAGGUGGAGCUGUUUGGAAAUAAAGACAGUAGAAAAGAGGUAGCUGAUUAUGAAGAGAGGACCACAGCUAAAGUUGAGGAACAUGAGUCAUCAGAGUUGCCACAAGCUGACUUGCAGACUUAUCAGUUAGCAAGAGAUAGAGUUAGAAGAGAAGUCAAAGCACUAGUGAGGUAUGGCUAUGCUGACUUAAUUACUUAUGCAUUGUUGUGUGCUGAUGAUGUGGCAAUUGAAGAGCCUGCUAACUUCUCUGAAGUUAUUGAAAGUGUGCAUUGUGAUAAGUGGCUUGAGGCAAUGCAAGAUGAAAUGGGAUCCCUUCAAAGAAAUCAGACCUGGACACUUGUUCCAAAUCUAGGUAAUAAAAAGUUGAUCAGUUGUAAGUGGAUCUUCAAGAAGAAUGAAGGAAUUCCAGAUGUUGAACCUCCCAAAUAUAAAGCAAGGCUAGUGGCUAGGGGGUUUACACAGAGAAAGAGUGUAGAUUUCAAUGAAAAAUUUUCCCCUGUUCUUAAGCACAUUUCAAUAAGAAUUUUAUUAGUCAUGGUAGCCUUACUUGACUUGGAGCUUGAGCAAAUGGAUGUAAAAACAGCAUUCCUUCAUGGUAAUCUUGAAGAACAGAUAUUGAUGGCACAACCUAAAUGUUUUGAGUGCAAAGGAAAUGAGGAUUAUGUUUGUUUGCUGCAUAAGUCCUUGUAUGGACUCAAGCAAUCCCCACGACAGUGGUACAUAAGAUUUGAUGAUUUUAUGGUCUCAAAAGGCUAUCACAUAAGCAAAUAUGACAGUUGUGUUUACUUUGGUGGAUCAUAUCAAGGUGGAGUUGCUUAUUUGCUUCUGUAUGUUGAAGAUAUGUUAAUUGCAAGAAAAUAUAAGUUGGAGAUAGAGAGGUUGAAGAAAUGAAGGAUCUCGGCAAUGCCAAAAGAAUCCUUGGGAUGAACAUUACAAGGGGCAGAUCUGCUGACACUUUGUUCUUGAGUCAUGAGAAAUAUAUCAAGAAGGUUCUGGAGAGGUUUGAGAUGCAAGACUAUAAACCUGUCCAAACACCACUUGGUCCCCAAUUCAAGUUGACAGCAGCUCAAUCAUCAGAAGAUGAGUCUCAGGUGAGUGAAUUCCCAUAUGCACAGGUUGUAGGGAGCCUGAUGUAUGUAAUGGUAUGCACCAGGUCAGAUAUAGCUUAUGCAGUAAGUGUUGUCAGCAAAUUUCUCAGUUGUCUAGGCAAGGUUCACUGGAAUGUUGUAAAAUGGAUAAUGAGAUAUCUUAAGGGCUCUUUUACUUGUGGUUUGCUGUAUGGGAAGACUAAGAGUGACAUAAGUGAAGUCCUGGGGUUUGUAGACUCUGACUUUGCUGGAGAUCUUGAUAGAAUGAAGUCAACCUCAGGGUAUAUGUUUGUGUUAAACAGUUGCCUGAUUAGCUGGAAGUCAUCACUUCAGUCUGUGGUUGCUUUAUCCUCAACUGAAGCUGAGUUUGUUGCAACUACAGAGGCAGUAAAAGAGGCCAUGUGGCUAAGAGGUUUGCUUAAUGAGUUAUGGUUAAAUCAGAAAAUUGUUCAGGUUUUCUGUGAUAACCAAAGUGUCAUACACCUGGUAAAGAAUCAGAUGUAUCAUGAAAGAACCAAGCACAUUGAUGUGAAGCUCCAGUUUAUCAGAGAUGAGGUUGGAAAAGGAACUAUAAUUGUGUCCAAGAUCUAUACCAGUGUGAAUCCAACUGAUGUUAUUACAAAAGCACUUCCCACUGCAAAAUUUGAAUUCUAUGUGAAUCUAAUGGGCAUCUCGCCCAAACCUAACUAAAUUCAAUAGUGAAUUGUAGUUGAAUGAAGGUUUUUUAGGUGCUGUGUUAUUGAAAGGAUCAACUGAAUCAACUGCAAGGUGGAGAAUGUGAAGAUGUGUGUGUGGACUGAAAUGAAGAAUAUGAAAAAGUUGAGAGCUGUUGUGCAGAUUGACUUCAGUUGAUGGGGUCUAUUAGAUAUUGUCUGCUGACGUGGUAUGAAUUCGUUAUAAUCUGUUAUAACGAGUUCAAUAUAUCAGUAUAUAAUGGAGCUGAUGGAUGGUGCCUGUUUUAGAGUCUUUUUCGUAUUCAUUUGUUCAUCAUUUUGCACAAGAUUUGUUCCAUUGUGAUCUGUGUAAAGUCUUCUGUAAAUCCACUCAUGAUUGGAUUAGUUCUUGAUCAAUAACGAGUAAAUUUUCCUUCAAGUGUGCUGGUCUGUGCCCCUGUUUUUGGUUCUAAUAUUGUUUCUUUGUUUUGGCAUUUCAUUUCGAUUGUGUGCUUGGUGUUUCUACUCAUCAAGAUUUGUGAGUCUUGUUGAGAUUAAAGGCUUAAUAGUCUUAACAAAAGGGAAUGUAGCAUUGCCAUUAAUCAACAUUCACUCUUAUGACUUUAUGACAUUAGAAUUAAAAUCUUUCGUACAUUUAAUUUAUUUGCUUCCAAAUUAAUCUUUAAUAAAUAUUUUUUCACAUUAUCAUCAAUGGACAAAACUCCAACGAAAAUAACUACACGAGAACAAUUUAUGCUAGUAUUAAAUGCCACGAUAUCUAUAACUUUGUCUGGAUCGAUCAUUCUAAUUUUUUCGCAGAACUUUUUGUCAAUGGACAAACACCUCACAGAGCUUGUCAGCCGCAUUAUUACGAUGUAAAAUUGUACCGGAAUAUCUUGAAUUAUUAGUAGAAUAAUGAAGACUAUUUGGGGCAAUAAAAACAAAUAACGCAGAUAAAAAAAUGGCUAAAAUUAUGUAAGUGAGCCCCAAAGUUUUUGCUAUUUCCAGGAAAUCCCAAAUUUGAAUGGACUAGAGGGAGGCACGUAAGAAAUACAUUUUCUUCCUAGACAAUGACAGCUAUGACAUCAAGCCACGGUGGCGUCAGUAUUGAAAUUAAGGUGUAAUUAUUCAGCCAAUGAGCCUUACACAUCAAGAUAAAAGUCAAGAUAAUGAAAAUUUGGCUGUUUCCAUUUGAAGUUAAAAGCAACGUUUCUUUCGUUUUGUGGGCGACUCGACUGAGCACGCCCCAAUAGCUAUAUUUAGGGCGUCAAUUUGAUAUUUGAAUGGACAGGCAAGUAAGAAAUACAUUUCCUUCAUAGACAAUGACAACGAGGACAUCAAGCCACAUCAUUAUAGUUUGUAGCCCAUCUACAUUUAAACGAUUAAUAAACAAGCUUAGGUGUGCCACUGCUAUUAUUAAUUAUCCCCUGAUCAUUAUAGUUUCUGAAACAGUAAAACUAAACGAAAUUGAAUACAUCAACGAGACCGCAAUUAUCACUUGUUUAGUUGCGGUAUUUAACUUAAUUUUAAUAUAAUAUAUUUGUUAGUUAAACUUUUAAUAAUCAAAUAAUUUUGAUUUAAAAAUAAAAUUAUAGAAAUUAUUAAUUAUUAAUUAUUAAAAAUUCACAAUUAAGGGAACGUUCAUCAAACACACAUAGCUAUUGUUUUCUCUAUAUAUUGCAGUGUGUACGAUAUUGAGGGUUGAAGCCCCAAGCAUGCUCUAAAAUCCAGAUAAUAAUUAGAUCCGGGCCAAAUAUUCAUCAUUGUGUCAGCUGAUCAGUCGGUGGACAUCUCUAUUGAAAAUAUCUCUGACAUUUCACUCGACAAACUUAUUAAUAUAAAAAAUCUGUGGUUUUGCCGUCUGAAUAAUGUAGAAAAAUUUGUCUAUGCAUUAAUCUAGAUGUUUGAGGUGAUUUAUACAUCUGUGGUAAAGAUUUAUAGGUUGACUUAGACGUCUGUGGUAUAGAUUUUAUGUAUUUCAUUACAAAAUGCUGGCCGUUAGAACCCUUUCUACAUCUAUUUAUAAGAUUAACGGGUGCCAGCUAUGCCAUUACAAAUUAUCCCCUCAUCAGAUAUUUCGUUAAAAUUCAUUCUGAAACACUAAAACUAAAUAAUCGAAUAUGGCUUUGCGGGUCGAUGAUGCCAGCAGCAAUGAGACUGCAAUUAUCACUUGUUUAGUUUCUGUGCUGGCCGUGGUUUACUUCGCAUGGAAUGUGAAAAAAUCAAGGAAAGCAAAUGCUACACUGCCACCAGGACCUCGCGGCUUGCCUGUAUUCGGAUACCUCCCAUUUCUUGGAACUACUGACUUGCACAAGAAAUUCACGGAAUUAUCCGGAGUUUAUGGUCCGAUCUUCAAGCUUUGGCUUGGAAAUAAAUUAUGUGUAGUGGUGAGCUCACCUUCCCUAAUUAGACAAGUGGUUCGUGAUCAAGAUACAACAUUCGCGAACCGUGACCCACCGAAGGCUGCACUAGUGGUCUCCUAUGGUGGCAAUGAUAUUGCAUGGUCCAAUUACGGUCCCGAAUGGAGAAAGUUGCGCAAAUUUUUUGUGGGCAAGAUGAUGAAUAACGCAAGCCUUGAUGCUUGUUAUGCUCUAAGAAGACAAGAGGUUAAAAAUACUAUCAGGGAUUUGUAUAACAACGACAACAAAAUUGGCAAGCCCAUUGACAUUGGUGAAUUGUCGUUUUCAACAUUGGUAUGUGCUAUACAGAACAUGCUGUGGGGUGAAGCGCUUGAAUUAAAAGAGAAAGGGACCACUAAUCUUAGGGCUGGGCUAAAAUUUAAGCUGGCAGAACUCAUGGUGCUUGCGGGAACACCGAAUAUUUCGGAUGUCUUUCCAAUGCUUUCAUGGCUUGACAUACAAGGUAUAGAGAGGAGAGCAAAGAAGAUUUCACUCUGGCUUGAUAAUGUUAUAAAUUCUACUGUUGAACAGCAUAGAAACAAGGAGUUAACUGUUGAAGGUGAAGAAAGAGCGGGGAAAAAUUUUGAAGGAUCAAGGAACAAGAACUUCUUGCAGUUACUAUUGGAGCUUCAAGAAAAUGAUGACAGUGCUUCCUCAAUUAGCAUGAACCAAUUCAAGGCCGUACUCGCGGUAUGUUAAGCAACUAGCCACGAACAGUUAUACAAGCACAAUUGUAUAUUUGCAUGAGUGAUAUUUUCAACCUUUUUUUUUAAUUAGAAUUUUAUUGUCACCUUUUGGACAGGAUAUAAUUACGGCUGGAACCGACACCACAACUACGAUGGUGGAAUGGACAAUGGCAGAGUUGAUGCAGCAUCCACAAGUAAUGAAGAAAGUUCAGGAAGAAUUAGCUCAAGUUGUGGGCAUGGACAGUUGUGUUGAAGAAUUUCACCUGUCUAGAUUAAUGUAUUUAGAUGCUGUGGUGAAGGAAACAUUUCGUCUGCAUCCUGCAGUGCCUUUAUUACUACCACGUAGGGCAAGCGAGAGUGGCAACAUUGGUGGCUAUACCAUUCCCAAAGAUACAACUCUUAUGUUGAAUGUUUGGGCUAUCCACAGGGACCCUCACCUUUGGGAUAAUCCCUUAGAAUUUCGACCCGAGAGGUUUCUGAAUGUUGGUAUCGAGAGUAAGUUCGAUUACUCAGGUAACAAUUUUCAGUACUUGCCAUUUGGUUCUGGUAGAAGGAUGUGUGCUGGGAUUCCUCUAGCUGAGAGGAUGCUGAUGUUUGUUUUGGCUUCGUUAUUGCACUCAUUCGAGUGGGAAUUGCCAACUGGCACAAAGCUAAACUUAUCAGAAAAAUUUGGGAUUGUCAUUAAGAAAAAAGAGCCUUUGGUUGCUAUUCCAACACCAAGACUAUCCAAUUCAGAGCUCUACCAUUAAGACCAAAUGGUUGUGAUGAUUUUGUUAAUUUCCGAAGAUUUGUAUGUUAUUUCAAGUUCAAUCGUAGUAAAAUAUUUCAAAUAAGAGUCCUCCGUUGCUUUUUUUUUUUUUUUUCAACGGCAUAAUCUGUGGUCAUGCUUGUAUUUGGAGCCACUUUAGAAAAAUUAUGUUUGAAUUACAAUUUAUAAAUAUUACAUUUUAAAAUAUUAUGAGGCUAAAUUUAUACACGUUCAAUAACCCGCUUCAUAUAUAUUUAACACAAUUUAUAUCAUACAUUGUACACCCAUUUAUCAUAAAUUACACUAUUUUGUAUCUCUAAAUAAUAUUACGUAUUGAUAUUAUAAAAUAUAUAUGGAAAAGAGAACAAAGAAGAUUUCUUAUGGUUUGAAAAUAUUAUGAAUUCUGCUGUUGAACAGUAUGGAAACAAGGUCUCUGUUGUUAAAGGUGAAGAAGCAACAGGGAACAAUAUUGAAGGAAGAAAUUUCACAUGUUUAGUUGCUGAAUUUGCCGCUGUAUUCUAUCGGUAGUAAAAAAAUUAGAGUUUUUAUUUUUCUCUAUUAAUGUUAAGUCAAUUUUCUAUAACAAAUUCGGUUGAGUUUAAUUGUGUUACAAUAUAAAUUGAAUGAUAAUAGAAUUUUCAACGAAUAUUUCAAUAUUUCUAUCUCGAUUGUUGAAGUGCCAUUUAUUUGUUAUGCGAUCGAUUUUAAAAUUUAUAAAAAUUAUUUGUUACUAAAUUGCAUCAUAUGCUAAAAUCACCUGAAACCUAAUUCCAUAACUAACCCUUUAUUUUUAGUUCUCAAGAAAUCUUGUAAGAACAAAAUUCUUUUAUAACAAAACUUUUACAACACAUUAAUUUGUAACUCAUUCCUGUGCGAGAAUCACUCUCAAAUUCCUUCAAUUGCUGUUGAACAAUCAUCUGCUUAUCAAAAUUCAAGCAUAAUCUUUUCUUUUUUUUAAUUUCUUCAUCAUUCUUUUGAAAAAAAAAAAUCAGGAUAUGCUGUUAAAAUUUUGAAAUAAAUUAUCUCAAAAUAAUUACUAACCAGAAAAAACAAAGGGGUUUAACUAGGUUAUGCAUACCUUUGAAAAUUAUAUGUUGAUCGAUAAGAAUGAUGAUCACGAUUGAGGAGUUUAAUUAAAAUAUAUAAGAUUUUAAAAUUAAUCAGGGUUAAAUUGUGAAUUUUAGAAAGAGAGGUUUUGUGAGAAUGCUGAAAGGGUGUUAAUAGUUCCACUCUUUUUAAAAGCAACCAUAGUCAUCAUUUUUCCCGAUUUCUUCUUCCCAUCUCCAUCUUAUUUAGAAAUUUCCCAGAGCCUUUGUUUCCCACCUUUCAUUGUUCUUCUUUCUAAUUUAAUACUAUAGGAUUACAAAAAUAAUUACUCACAUUUUAUCAAACACCUCCAUUCUACCAAGGCCUUGUUUUAGUAGUAGGCUUUUAUUAUCUCAAUAAAAUUGAAAAAACAAAUCUCAAUAAUAUUGGAAAAAAAAAACCUACCCAUAUUUGUAACUUUAAUUUAUUAUUCUCCAUAGACCUACUUUUUAGCUUUGAAUUUUGUUGGAGCCAUAUAUAAACAGAAUAUGUUGAAUCAGCACCAAAAAAAAAAAAAAAAAACUAAUUAUAUAAUUUCUGUUCCCAAGGACAUGACUGAUUGAUUUUCAAGAAGUUUUGUUUGGCUGGCUACUUAGGUUUAAAUCUUGGUGGAGAUUAGGGGUUAAGAAAUAAAUUUGGACUUUGCACACCCCUUUAACUUUUAAAAAGAAAUGAAAAAAACUAAUUAAUUAAUCUUUAUUUUAUUUAUUAAAUAUCAUAAUCCUAUGCGUAUUUUAUUUGUUAUCUUUCUAUUUAAAAGACAGGAGGGCAGAUAAAACUGAAAUAAAUUUUUAGCCCUAUCUCCAUCUUUCAAGUUCCAUAGUUAGGUGACCAGGUAAAGAAAAUUAAUUGAAAGCUACUCCAUCAAAUUAAAAAAUUUUAUUUAUUUAAUUUGUGGAGAUGUAGAAAAUCAAACCCCAUGCCUUUUCGCGUGGAAAAGUGUCAACCUGGUCUAGCUAUGUUGCAAAAGUGAACAUAUUUUAAUACAUGACUAUCAUCCUUUAUCCUAAAUACUACUAUAACUAAUAACAUACAAUUGAAAUAAUUAAUGUUAACACUUGGCUAUAAAUAAAGGUUUUGUGCUUGAAUCUUCACGCAUGACCUUCAUUCCUUUAUUUACUUUGCUAACACAGAUUUUGAGGCAUUAAAACUAAAUAAUAAUUGACUUUGUGGGCCGAGGAUGCCAGCAACAAGGAGACCACAAUUAUCACUUGUUAAGUUACUCUAAUUGCCGUUGUCUUAUAUUCAUAGAAUAUUAGUAAUAAGAUUAUUGUAGAAUUUUUUUAUAUUAAAAUUAAGUCAAUUUGUUAUAACAAAUUUAGUUGAGUUUAAUCGUGUUACCACAUAAAUUGAAUAAUAAUAAAAUUCUCGACAAAUAUUUCAAUAUUUUUAUCCCAAGCGUUGGAGUGGCAUUUAUUUGUUAUACGAUCAAUUUUAGAAUUUAUAAAAUUAUUCGUUACUGAAUUGCACCAUAUGCUGCAUGACCUGAAACUUAAUAAACGGAACGUAGCGUUGGCACCGUUACUCAACAUACUGUUACGACUUUGUGACAUUAGAAUUAAAAUCUUUUGCACAUUUAAUUUGUUUACUUCCAAAUUAAUAUUUAACAAAAUAUUUUUUCACAUUAUCAAUGGACAAAACUCCAACGAAAAUAACUACACAAGAAAAAUGUAUGCUAGUAUUGUGUGCCAUAUCAUCUGUAAUUUUGUCAGGAUCGAUCAUUCUAAUUUUUAAGCAGAACUUUUUAUCAAUGGACAAACACCUCACACAGCUUGUCAGAGGCAUUAUUAUGAUGGAAAACUGUAAUGGUAUAUCUUGAAUUAUUGGUAGAAUAGUUCUUUGGAGCAAUAAAAACAGAUAAGACAGAUGAGAAAAUUGUCAAUACCCCACCGCAAAAGCAAAAGAAAAAAAGGAAAGGAGACAAAAGAGGAAGAAGAAAAAGAAAAAAGAACGAAGAAAAAAAUGGUGCCGCGCGGUAUAGGCAAGAAGAAAAAAUAAUAAUAAAAUAAUAAAAUAAUAGUGCACAACAGUCAUUUGAUUGCUAUAAAUAAAGGGGCAUUUCCCUCAUUUUAUUCAUCGAAUUCUUCAGUUCCUAAGCGAUUUAAGAGUCUAGUGAUUUGAGAGUUUGGGUAUAGUAUAGUUUUGAGUAGUGAGUUAAAAUAUUACAAUACUUAUAACUUAUUUUUACUAAUAAAAUAUUUUUCUUCUAUCUUCACCCGUGGACGUAGGGUCAAAGCCGAAUCACAUAAUUUUUAGUAUCCCUAUGUGAUUAUGUAUCUCAUUAUUUUUCAAUUUUACUUUAGUUACGUGUCUGCUACAUCCUUCAAUUUACUAACAAAAAUGGCCAAAAUUAUAUAAGUGACCCAAAUUUUUUUGCUAUUUCCAAGAAAUCUCCAAUCUGAAUGGGCCAGACCAGAGGGAGGCAAGUUAGAAAUACGUUUCCUUCAUAGACAAUAACAGCGAUGAGUCGAUGACAUCGAGCCACGUCGGUAUCAAUAUUGAAUUAAAGGUGCAAUUAUUCAGCCAAUGAGCCUUACACAUCAAGAUAAAAGUCAAGAAAAUGAAUAUUUAUCCUAAUUAAAACACUUUCUGGCUGCAUUUAGUUGUUUCCAUUUGAAGUUAAAAGCAACGUUUCUUUCGUUUUGUGGGCAACUCGACUCAGUUAGCUGGCUUCUAGUGCUAGUAAGUGAAAAUAGAAGGCUAAUGAUUUAUUUGUUAUCUUUUGAUAAAAUUAUUAAAGAUAUAAUAGAUUUUUCAUGAUACAAAUAAAAAAUCACAUCAACAUAGCUUCCAAAGUACAACAGCUAAUGUUUACCAAACACUUUGUUGUAGCUUUUAAGCUACAGCUGCCCAACUUUAAUUUCAAAUGCACCCUUAAUAGGUUGAUUGAAUUUGUGGGAUAUAGAUUCCACAUAUCGUAUGACCUAGUAACUAUACAAGUGGUUCGUGAUCAAGACACAACAUUUGCUUCCGGCCCGGUGACCCAGCAAUCGCUGCAUUGGUCGCCACCUAUGGUGCCAACGAUAUUGCAUGGUCCAAUUGUGGCCUUGAAUGGAAAAAGUUGAGCAAAUUAUUUGUGGACACGAUGAUAAGUAACGCAAGCCUUGAUGCUAGUUAUGGUCCAAGAAAACAAGAGAUAUGCAUAACAACAAAAAGGAAAAAAAAAAAAAAAAAAAAAAAGGCAUUUGCAAGCCCAUUGAUAUUGGUGAAUUGUCGAUUUCAACUUUGGCAUGUGUAAUCCAGAGCCUGCGCGCUGUGGUGUGGCGCUGGCACGCUUGCAUUGACGAGGGGACAAGUCUUGGGGCUGAGCUAACAUUUAAGCUCGCAGAACUCAUGGUGCUAAUGGGAACACCAAAUAUUUUUUGACAUAUUUUGGUGCUUUCAUGGUUUAAUUCAAGGUAUAGAAAGGAGUGUUGAGAAUGUCAAAUAAAACGGUAUUGAAUGGAAGUUGUUAAAGACACGAUCCGCACCGAACGACAACAGCACGGUUGCUAAAAAUCCUUCCGUAAUAGGCAUAUCUAAUUUUUGAAAAAGUGUAACCUCUACAUUUAUAAAUAUACUCAAUGUAUAAUGUUUUACUUAAGAAAUGAAAAACUUGUUUGUUCAAGGAGAAUAAAGAAAAAUUUUCUAUGAUUUUUCUAUGGUUUGAACAAAGAAGGUUUUAACGAGUAUUAUAGACCUCGAUUGAAUGUUCGAAUGUAUAAUAAAAGAGAAACUGUCACAUAAAUGACAAAGAUACUUGAAAAAAAAAAAAAAGGGCAGCAAUAGAGAAUUAGAUCCGACUGUACAAAUAACUAGUUAAUUCAUCGAUACAUCAUUUUCUUGCUAGAAAAUGACAAUUAUGACAGCAAGCCACGAUAGUGUCAAUAUUGAAAUUGAUUUGCAAUUAUUCAGCCUAUGAGCCUUACACGUCAAGAUAAAAGUCAAGAAAAUGAAAGUUAAUAUCAAUUAAAACACUUCCAUUUCUAUGUGAAGUUAAAAAACAACGUUUCUUUUGUUUUGUGGGGGAUUCAACUGAGCACGCGCCACUAGCUAGCUGGCUUCUAGUUCUAGCAUAUGAAAACAGAAUUCUAAAGAUUUCACUUUCACCUUUUUUCUUUUUUUGGGGUUUUGAAUCAAAGUCAAGGUCGCACUGAAUAAUAUGUAAAAUUUGAAAAAGAAGAAUUAAUAGAGAACAAAGUUUUGUUUUAAAUUCACAUGGUGUGCAUACAAUUCAACAAACACUUCCUAUAAUAAAUCUGGAGUUGUAUCCCACGUUGAACAAUAAAGGAAAGUCACCUAAAUAUACAUGUAGGAUAAGUUACUUUAUUUAGUAAGUUUGUAUUUUCUUCUUUCUUCUAGUUUACAUAUAAAUUUGAUUAGAUAACUUAACACAUAUUUUAAUACUUGAUCAGAAGCCCGACGUACAGGUGGAUCUAGAAACUUGAUUUCUAAGAGUAAUACUAUAAUAAAAAAAUAAUGAUUCAUAGAACCAAUAUCAAAAUUUGUUUACAAGAUUGCCCCCACUCAAAGGUAAUUUUCAUAGAAAUUAAUAGGAAAUUUAAUUGUUAGUGGGGUCAAAUUGCCCCCACACUCUGAAUGUAGAUCCACGCCCGACCCUGAGUCAAGUAUAUUUUGCCACAUAUACUCUGAAUGUCGGCAGGAAAAAUCUUCCACUUUAGUUAAAAAUUUUCACUUAAAAAAUAUUUAUGUUAAUAAAGUUCGUAAAGGAAAUGAGUUUAAUUAAUGAAUAUUAUAGGAGAAAUUAAAGGAAAUGAGUUUAAUUAAAGAAUAUUAUAGGAGAAAUUCUAUUGUUCGGCUUUUAAUAAAUUAAUUAAUAGGUUUAAAAGAUUAAUAUACAUCAAAAUAUUAUUAGUUGGUGGGGGUUCCACAUCGGACUAAUACGUGUCACCUUACUUGUGAGAUUAAGACAAUCGACUUAGACUAUUUAAAUAUGUUUGAAGCUUAGAUGGCACCGCUUCAAUUUGCAUUACUGAAUGUCAUUCUUUAUCCUAAUUACUACCGUAAUUGAUAACAUGCAAUUGAAGUAACUAAUAUUAGCACUUGGCUAUAAAUGAACUAAAGGCCGUGCAAUUGAAUCUUUACUUGAUCACUUCACUCCUUUAUUUUGCUAACACAGAUUUUGAGAUAUUAAAACGAAAUAAUAAUUGAAUCUGGCUUUGUGGGUCGAUGAUGCUAGCAAAAACGAGACCACAAUUAUCACUUGUUUAUUUGCUGUAUUUGACGUUGUUUCAUAUUGGUAGUAAUAGGGUCAGUUUUUAAUCUUUUUAUAUUAAAGUUAAGUCAAUUUGUUAUCAAAAAAAAAAAUUGGUUGAGUUUAAUUAUAUUGCUAUGUACAUUAAAUAAUUAUAAUAUUCUUGAGGGAAAAAGACACCUAGAACCUCAAGGUUUGGGGAAAUGGUCACAAAGACUCCUAAGUUUUAAAAAAGGAACACUAAGAUCUUUUUUUACCCAUAAUACCCUUUGACUAGAGUAAUUAAAAAAUUGACUUUAAAGGUUUUUAAAUAAUUCUAAUUUAAUAUAAAUCAUAUAAUCUAUCUAGUAAACUAAUAAUAUUAAAUUAUUUUUUAUAUUUAAAAUAAUGUUAAAUUUUAAAUUAUUAUAUUUAUAAAAUUAUAAAGAUUUUAAAUAAAUAUUUGGAUUGAAUAUAUUUUACAAUUAAAAGUCUUCCUAUUAAUAAUAUUAAAAUUUAAUUUUACAAAAUAUAUAUUCAAAAUAUUUUUAAUUUUAAUUUAUUUAUUUUAAUAUUAUGUUUCUACCUAUUAUUAAAAAUUACUUUAAUAUAAUAAAAUAGGUCUAAUAGAUUGAAAAAUAUGAAAAUAUUUUUAAAAUUUUAAAUUAUUUUGAAAUGUAUAUAUUAUUACAUUUAUUUCAAUGUCAUAUUUUCAUUUAUUAUAAAAUUUUGGGGUUAUUUUUUUGGGAAUUUAUAGAGUCAAAGAGCAUUAUAAUUUAAUCCAUGCACAAUAUCUAUAAUUAUAUCGGUUGUCGGCUGAUUUCGUGGAGGGGGCGGCAGUUCAAAAUUUUUACGUGCAUGUUGGAUGGACGUCUCUAUUAAAGGAGAGCCACCACUUGCAUGGUAAUUUUUUUAAAUAAAUAUAUACAUUUCAAAACAUUAUUUUCUUGUUGUAUAGUUAACAUGUCACCUUAGAUGUAUUUUAGAGCUUCUCCUAUUAAAGAUAAUCUCAUGCAGUGUUACAGAGUAUGGUAAUAUGGUAUAGAUGAGAGCAUCUGAUUAAAUGAAGCAGCUGGUAAUGCUUACGUGUGUGAGUUAGUUAUCCAGCUCAGCAGCAAAGCAAACGAAAUGAAUUGCAUGCAUAUUAGAUCCAACAAACUGGUAAACUCUAGAUUCUUCUUUCAUUUAGUAUAAAUACCAAGUUGUUAUCAUUUGCUAAAUAUAUAAUAAGAUGAUCAUUUUCAGAUCUUUCCUUUAUAAUUUUCUAUAACUUUCUCGUUAGUUUCUCUUGAACCAAACACUUUGUACGAACUCUUUCGUGCAGUGAUACUUCUCGUGAUCUAAUCAUUAGUAGAAUCUAUAAUUUCGCUACUGUAAUAAAAUCUGUCACUACCCUAUAUGAAUGUAGAUAUUUGACGCGAUUUGUAAUUGCUUCCGACAGGAAAACAGCAAUAGUUUUAUUGAAAUUUGUGGUAUAGAUUCCACGAAUCUUAUGACAGAAUACUGACCACUCCAACCCUAUCCGCAUUUACACGAUUAAUACACAAGCUUAGAUGUGACAAUGCAUUUGUCACUCAUUCAAAUUCAUCCUGAAACACUAUACACUAAAUAAUCGAAUAUGGCUUCGUGGGUCGAUGAUGCUAGCAGCAACGAGACUGCAAUUAUCACUUGUUUUGUUGCUGUACUUGUCGUGGUCUAUUUCGCAUGGAAUGUAAACAAAUCAAGUAAAGCAAAUGCUAAAUUGCCACCAGGACCUCGGGGCUUGCCAGUAGUCCGAUACCUCCCAUUUCUUGGAACUACUGACUUACACAAGACAUUCACGGAGUUAUCUGGAGUUUAUGGUCCGAUCUUCAAGAUUUGGCUUGGGAAUAAAUUGUGUGUAGUGGUGACCUCGCCUACCCUAGUUAAACAAGUGGUCCGUGAUCAAGAUAUAACAUUCUCAAACCGCGACCCACCGAUCGCUGGAACUGUGACCACCUACGGUGGCAAUGAUAUUGCACUUUCCAAUUACGGUCCCGAAUGGAAAAAGUUGCGAAAAUUAUUUGUGAGCAAGAUGAUGAGUAAUGAGACCCUUGAUGCUUGUUAUGCUCUAAGAAAACAAGAGGUUAAAAAUACUAUCAGGGAUUUGUAUAACAACAAUAAGGAUAAUAUUGGCAAUGGCAAUGGCAAGCCCAUUGACGUUGGUGAAUUGUCGAUUUCAACUUUGGUACGUGUUAUGCAGAACAUGCUGUGGGGUCAAGCAUUGGAAACAAGAGAGAAAGAGAUUACUAAUCUCGGGGCUAAUCUUGCAGAACUCAUGGUGCUACUGGGAACACCAAAUAUUUCGGAUAUUUUUCCAGUGCUUUCAUGGCUUGACAUGCAAGGUAUAGAGAGAAGAGCUAAGAAGAUUUCUCUAUGGUUUGAAAAUAUUAUCAAUUCUGGUGUUGAACAGUAUAGAAACAAGUUCUCUGUUGUUAAAGGUGAAGAAGCUGCAGCACGAAAAAAUAUUGAACGAUCAAGAAAUAAGGACUUCUUGCAGUUGCUGUUGGAGCUUCAGGAAAAUGAAGAUAGUGCUUCAUCUAUUAGCAUGAACCAACUAAAGGCCGUGCUCGUGGUAUGUUAAGCAACUAGACACAAAAAGUUGUAAAAGCACAGCGAUAUAUUUGCGCGAGGCCCCGAGUGAUGUUUUGCCUCGAGAACUCUCAAUUUUAUCUUACGGUAAAAAAUGUUUUUCAACUUUUUUUUUUAAUUAGAAUUUUAUUGCAAUUUAUUUAACAGGACAUAAUUGUGGCCGGAACCGACACCACAACUACGAUGGUGGAAUGGACAAUGGCAGAGUUGAUGCAACAUCCACAAGUAAUGAAGAAAGUUCAAGAAGAAUUCGCUCAAGCUGUGGGCAUGGACAGUUGUGUUGAAGAAUAUCACUUGCCUAAAUUAAAGUAUUUAGAUGCUGUGGUGAAAGAAACAUUUCGUUUGCAUCCUGCGUUGCCCUUAUUGGUACCUCGCACGGCAAGCAAGAAUAGCAACAUUGGUGGCUAUACCAUUCCCAACGACACUAAUCUUAUGUUGAAUGUUUGGGCUAUCCACAGGGACCCUCAACUUUGGGAUAAUCCCUUAGAAUUUCGACCUGAGAGGUUCUUGAAUGAUGGUAUCAUAAGCAAUUUCAAUUACUCGGGUAACAAUUUUCAGUACUUGCCAUUUGGUUCUGGUAGAAGGAUGUGCGCUGGGAUUGCUCUAGCUGAGAGGAUGUUGAUGCUUGUUCUGGCUUCGUUGUUGCACUUGUUUGAGUGGAAAUUGCCCUCGGGCACAAAGCUAGACUUAUCUGAAAAGUAUGGGAUUGUCAUGCGGAAAAAAGAGCCUCUAAUUGCUAUUCCAACACCAAGGCUACCAAAUUCAGAUCUCUACCAGUAAGAUCAAAAUGGUUUUGAUAAUAUUAUUUCCCAUUGUAUUGGAUUUGAAGUUCAAUCAUAAUAAAAUAUUUUAAUAAAAUGUCCUCGGUUGCUAAUUUUUCAAUAGUAUAAUCUGCACCUGUCUUUUAUAGCAAUUUGGUCUAAUUUAUUUUUGAAUUAAAAUCCAUAAAUAUUUAUAUUUUUUUAAUUAUAUUAGGAAUUAUGUGGGGUGUAUGGUCUGAUCUUCGAGCUAUGCCUUGAAAACAAAUUAUGCAUAGUCGUGCACACGCUUUCCCUAAUUAAGUUUGUGGUUCGUGCUCAAGGCACAGCAUUCACCCCCCGCGACCCAACAAUCGCUACAUUGUUCCCCACCUAAAGUGCCAACAUAUUGCAUAAGUAACGCAAAAUAUGGUCCCCAAUGGAAAACGUUGCGCAAAUUAUUUCUGGGCAAGAUGAUAAGUAACGCAAGCCUUGAUGCUUGUUAUGGUCUAAGAAAACAAGAGGUUAAAAAUACUAUCAGAGACAUAUAUAAAACAACAACAGAAAAAAUUGGCAUUAUCAUCGAUAAUGGUGAGUUGUGGAUUUCAACUUUGGUAUGUUUAAUUCAGAACCCGCAGUGGGGUGGCGCUAGCACGCCUGCGUUAGGAGACGAGGGGACCAAUCUUGGGGCCGAGCUAAAAUAUAGGCUUGUAGAGCUCAUGCUGCUAAUGGUAAUGGGAACACCUACUAUUUCGGAUACUUUUCCGAUGCUGGUUUAAUUCAUGGUUUAGAAAGGAGAACAAAGAAGAUUUUUCGAUGCUUUGAAAAUAUUAUAAUUUUUAUAAAAUCUCUUAUUGAUAACUAAACAACUAAAAUUUCUGUAAAGUUUUUGUGGACUUUUGAUCUCCUAUGGUGCCAAUAUUUUCGACUAAUUUUUUCCUUCAAUUAAUGAUGUUGGUUGAGAAAGACUAUUUUUCUUGCAAUAAUAUAGUAUUCGUGGUCCUAUUAGGGUUCCGAAUGGAGAAAGUUGCACUAAGUUUUUUGAGUACCAAAUGAUGAGUAAUGUACGUAAGCCUUGAUGGUAGUUAUGGUCUAAGAAAACAAGAGGUUAAAAAUACUAUCUGGGAUUUGUACAACAAUAACAAAAUUGGCAAGCCCAUUGACAUUGGUGAAUUGUCAGUUUCAACCUUGGUAAGUGUUUUCAGAACAUGCUGUGGGGUGAAGCGCUUGGAAUAAGAAAGAAACGGAUGACGAAUAUUGGGGCUGAGCUUAGAUUUAAACUUGCAGAACUCAUGGUGCUGUCAGGAACACCGAAUAUUUCGGAUAUCUUUCCAGUGCUUUCAUGGUUUGAUAUACAAGGUUUUGAGAGAAUAGCAAAGAAGAUUUCUCUAUGGUUUUAAAAUAUUAUCAAUUCUACUGUUGAACGCUAUAGAAACAAGGUCUCAGUUGUUAAAAGUGAAGAAGAAGACGCAGCAGCAGCAGCAGCAGGGAACAACAUUGAAGGAAGGAAUAAGGACCUGGUGCAGUUACUCUUGGAGCUUCAAGGUAAAGAAGAAAAUGCUUCAUCAAUUAACAUGACGCAAUUUAAGAGCUUGCUCGUGGUAUGUUUGCGCAACUAGCCACAGACAGUUACAGAAACUGAGUUUGGCAGAUUACGACCGUUUCUGGUGAUUAUAUAACUAUUUGUGGCUGUUUUUUGUUUUUUUUUUCUUUUAAUUGGAAUUUUAUUGUAAAUUUCUUAACAGGAUAUAAUUUAGGGUGGAACCAACACCACAACUAUAAUGGUGGAAUGGACAAUGGCAUAAUUGAUACAGCAUCCACAAGUAAUGGAGAAUGUAAAGGUAGAACUAAGUCGGGCCGUGGCCAUUGACAGCCAUGUUGAAGAAUUUCACCUACCUAAGUUAAAAUAUUUAGAUGUUGUGGUGAAAGAAACAUUCCGCACGAUAAUAUAAUAUAUGAAUCAUAUAUCCUCUAUUGGUUUUUUGCUCCUUUUUUUUUCAAUAGCUUAAUCUAUCAUUAAAAUCUUCUGAAAUUCUAAAUUAAUAUACAUUCAACCUAGAGUUCAACCCAAAGUUUUAUUGAGCAUUAAAAAAAAAAAUUCUACGACUAAAAAUUUUACAGAGUAUAAAUUAAAAAUUAUGCGCCUACUAACAGACAAAAAACAAUUGAUACACAUUCACCAAUCAAAGGCAAACAAGAGAUUAUUAACAAUAACUUAAUAAUAAAAUUAUAAGGAAUCAAAUAGAAAUGGUACCUAGAAACACAUCACGCCAUUUAAUCAAUCACUUACCCAUAAAAUCCAAACUUAUAAACUAUUAAGGGGGGGAAAUGGAUACCUUUGGGUUUCAUUAAAUCAAAAUUACAACACCAUUAAAUACUCAAAAAUGAAAAAAAAAAAAUCAUACCCAAUAAAAGAGAAAAAAAUAACCCACAAAAAAAAUCAUCAAGAAAAUAAAUUUGAGACUAAGAGAAGAUAUUAAUUAACGCCUGGGUUGCAUUGGAACCACGGCUUUGGCUUCCAUUUUUCAAUUCUUGGUCACAAGUGAUUUCUUGUUUGUUUGCAAUGAUGACGGUUGAUUAAUGAAGCUCUAUUAACAAUGAAUGAAUCAAAAAACUUGAGCCUUGAAAAGACUAACGGUCAUAUUUUUCAACUCCGAAUUAGUGGCGUUUGAUGAGUCCUUGCCAAAACAAUCACUCGGCAGAUAACGAUCAUUUUUCAACCAGCAAAACUCAUUCAUUGUUUUUCACCUUAGUGAAGAUUUAAAAAUUGUUUCAAAAUAGGAUUCUUAAAAAAAUAAUAAUAAAAUGAUAUUUAACUUAAUUCUAACUUAGGAAAACAAAAUAUCUACACUCCCAAAGUUUGGAGAAAUGGUCAUUAAUAUCCCCAACUUUCCAAAAAGAGACACCAAGAACCCUUUUAACCAUAAUACUAUUUACUUCUAUUAUCCCAAAAAACAAUUGACUCUAAUAUUUUAUAAUAAAUAAAAAUAUAACAUUAAAAUAAAUGUAAUAGUAUAUACAUUUUAAAAUAGUUUCAAUAUUUAAAAAGCAUUUUAAUAUUUUUAAAUUCUAUUUUAUAUAUAUUGAUUAUUUUAAAGUAAAUUUUAUAAUAAAUAGAAUCAUAAUAUUAAAAUAAAUGCAUUAAAAUUUAAAUUAUUUUGAAUAUUAUGUAAAAUAAUAAUUUUAACAUUAUUAGUAUAUGAGAAUUUUUUUAAUUGUAGAAUGCAUUUAAUGCAAAUAUUUAUUUAAAAUCUCUACAAUAAAUAAAAAUAUACUAUUAAAACAAAACUCUACAAUACAUACAUACAUACAUAUACAUUGGCCUGGUAUUUUUAUUUUUCAUUUUUAAACUUAUUAAAUCCUCUAACUAUCAUUUGAUUUUUUUUUUUUUUCAAUGAUCAAGAGGUCAUUGCCGGAUAAAUGAUUAAAAUCAACUAGUUCUACAAGAAUAUCUCUUUUUAAAGGAAGAUGAUUCUCUCUCUCGAAAUUUUUUUAUCUCGUGCUACAAACUAAAAACUUAUGCCACUUCAUUAACCACAAAGAUCUUUGAGGAAAUGAUGCUUCCCUCCCCCCCCCCCCCCCCCCCCCUCCCACAAAAAAAAAAAAGAGUCCUUCCAUAUUGUGUGAAGGCUAAUAUAUCGAUGAAUCUAGAUUUCUUUAAAUUUUUUGUUUUACUCAAUUCGAGAUAAUAAUUCAAUCCAUGCAAAUAUCUAUCAUUGUAUGAGCUGACCAGUUAAUAGGUUGAUUGAAUAUAUGUGGUAAAGAUUCCACGUAUCUCAUGACAGAAUGCUGACCACUGGAACCCUAUCUACUUUUACGCGAUUAAUUCACGAGCUUAGGCACAACAAUUGCAAUACAAAUUAUCCCCUCAUCGUAUAUUUCGUUAAAAUUCAUUCUGAAGCAGUAAAACUAAACAAUCGAAUAUGGCUUUGCGGGUCGAUGAUGCCAGCAGCAAUGAGAGUGCAAUUAUCACUUGUUUAGUUUCUGUGCUUGCCGUGGCUUAUUUCGCAUGGAAUGUGAAAAAAUCAAGGAAAGCAAAUGCUAAACUGCCACCAGGAACUCGCGGCUUGCCUGUAGUCGGAUACCUCCCAUUUCUCGGGACUACUGACUUGCACAAGAAAUUCACGGAAUUUAUUUUACUAUUAUAUUUAUAUUCAAAAUAAUUUUAAUUAGCUUUUAAAAUGAAUGAUUUUAGGAAAUUAUAAAUAAAGGUAACUAAGAAUUCUCUUAAUGCAAUAUAUUAUUAAUUAGUUUAAAAAUACAAAUUUAUUAAUUAGAGAAAUUAUUAGUGAAUUUAAAUUAAUGAUCUUAAUGAUUUGUUUGUACGAUUGCCCCCAAUCAAAGGUAAUUUUCCUAAAAAUUAUUAGGAAAUUAGAGAAAUUUAAUUUUUUUUAGUGGGUUCAAUUGCCCACACACCCCGACUGAAGCAUUUUUUACAAUAUGUACUCCGUUUGUCGGCAGGAAAAUAAAGGUCUUGACACAUGAUCACUUCAUUCCUUUAUUUACUUUGCGAACGCAGAUUUUGAGGUAUUAAAACAAAUAAUAAUUGAAUAUGACUUUGUGGGUCGACGACGCCAGCAACGAGGAGACCGCCAAUUAUCACAUUUUAAGUUUGCUGUAAUUGCCAUUGUUUUAUAUUAGUAGAAUAUUAGUGAUAAGAUAAUUGUAGAGUUUUCAUUUUUUUAAUAUUAAAAUCAAGUCAAUUUAUUAUAAUAAAUUUAGUUGAAUUUAAUCGUAUUACCACAUAAAUUGAAUAAUAAUAGAAUUCUCCACAAAUAUUUCAAUAUUUUAAUCUCAAGCAUUGGAGUGGCAUUUAUUUGUUAUGCGGUCGAUUUUAGAAUUUUUAAAAUUAUUCGUUACUGAAUUGCACCAUAUGCUGCAUCACCUGGAACUUACUAAACGGAACGUAGCGUUGGCACCGUUACCAACAUUCACUGUUACGACUUUGUGACAUUAGAAUUAAAAUCUUUUCCACAUCUAAUUUGUUUACUUCCAAAUUAAUAUUUAACAAAAUAUUUUUUCACAUUAUCAAUGGACAAAACUCCAACGAAAAUAACUAUACAAGAAAAAUGUAUGCUAGAAUUGUAUGCCAUAUCAUCUGUAAUUUUGUCAGGAUCGAUCAUUCUAAUUUUGAAGCAGAACUUUUUAUCAAUGGACAAACACCUCACACAGCUUGUCAGAGGCAUUAUUAUGAUGUAAGAUUGUAAUGGUAUAUCUUGAAUUAUUGGUAGAAUAGUGAAUAACUAUUUGGAGCAAUAAAAACAAAUAAGACAGAUGAGAAAAUGGCUAAAAUUAUAUAAGUGACCCAAAUUGUUUUGCUAUUUCCAAGAAAUCCCCAAUCUGAAUGGACCAGCCAGAGGGAGGCAAGUUAGAAAUAUGUUUCCUUCAUAGACAAUAACAACGAUGAGUCGAUGACAUCAAGCCACGUCGGUAUCAAUAUUGAAAUAAAGGUGCAAUUAUUCAGCCAAUGAGCCUUACACAUCGAGAUAAAAGUCAAGAAAAUGAAAAUUUAUCCCAAUUAAAACACUUUCUGGCUGCAUUUAGCUGUUUCCAUUUGAAGUUAAAAACAACGUUUCUUUCGUUUUGUGGGCGACUCGACUGAGCUAGCUGGCUUCUAGUGCUGGUAAGUGAAAAUAGAAGGCUAAUGAUUUCACUUUCACAUUUUUCUUUUCCUUUUUUGGGAAUCAAAGUCAAGGUCAAGAAGAAUAAAUGGAGAAUUCGGAAAAAUGGGUGCAUAAUGUGAUCCAUUCAUGAAGAAGAGUACGUGAGCGUCGGGCAACAGUAUUUUUACCUAUUAAGCUCCAGUUUAAUUUUGUUGUAGGAAAACAAAAUUUUGUUUUCAAUUCACAUCGUGUGCAUCCAAUUCAACAAACACUUUGUAAUAAUUAAUGUUGAGUUGUAUCCUACGUUAAGGAGAGUUACUUAAAUUUAUAAAUAGGAUAAAUUACUCUAUUUAAUAAGUUAAUGUUUUCUUCUUUCUUCUAGAUUACAUAUAAAUUUAGUCAGAUAACCUAACACAUAUUUUAAUACUCGAUCAGAAGCCCUAAGCAGUGGUGGAUCCAAUAAAUUGAUUUAUAUGGUGUAAUAAUGUAAUAAAAAAAUGGUGAUUCAUAAAAUUGACCCAAUAUCAAAAUUUGUUUGCAAGAUUACUCCCCACUCAAAGGUAAUUUUCCUAAAAAUUAAUAGGAAAUUUAAUUGUCAUUGGGAUCAAAUUGCCCCCACACUCUUGAAUGUAGAUCCUCCCCUGGCCUUGAGUCAAGUAUUUUUUCCAAUAUAUACUCCGAAUGUCGGCAGGAACAACCUUCCACUUUAAUUUAAAAUUUUUACUUGAAAAAUUAAUUAAUGUUAAUAAAGUUCGUAAGAGAAAUGAGUUUAAUAAAAGAAAAUUAUAGGAGAAAUUCUAAUGUUUGUCUUUUAAUAAAUUAGUUUAUAAGUUUAAAAAGUUAACAUAUAUCAAAAUAUUAUUGAUUGGUGGUGGUUUCACGUCAGAUUAAGACGUGACACUUUACUUGUGAGACUGAGACAAUCAGCUUAGACUACUUCAAUAGGUUUGAAGCGUAGGCGGCACCCAUUCAAUUUGCACCAAUGUCUAUCAUUCUUUGUCCUAAUUACUACGAUAAUUAAUAACAUGCAAUUGAAAUUAUUAAUGUUAGUACUUGCCUAUAAAUAAAGGUAUUGUACUUGAAUCUUCAUAGAUGAUCACUUCAUUCCUUUAUUUACUUUGGUAACACAGAUUUUGAGAGACAUUAAAACUAAAGAAUAAUUGAAUAUGGCUUUGUGGGUUGAUGAUGCCAGCUCCAACGUGAGUGCAAUUAUCGCAUGUUUAAUUGCUCUAUUAGCCGUGGUCUAUUUCGUGUGGACAAGGAAAACAAAUGCUAAACUUCCACCAGGACCUCGCGGCUUGCCUGUAAUCGGAUACCUCCCUUUUCUCGGAACUACUGACUUGCACAAGACAUUCACGGAAUUAGCUGGUGUGUAUGGUCCAAUCUUCAAGCUCUGGCUUGGCAACAAAUUGUGUGUAGUGGUGAGCUCGCCUUCCCUAGUUAAACAAGUGGUUCGUGAUCAAGAUAUAACAUUCGCUAACCGCGACCCACCGAUCGCUGGACUCGUGGCCUCCUUUGGUGGCAAUGAUAUUUUAUUUUCCAAUUAUGGUCCUGAAUGGAGAAAGUUGCGCAAAUUAUUUGUGGGCAAGUUGAUGAGUAACGCAAGUCUUGACGCUUGUUAUGCUCUAAGAAAACAAGAGGUUAAAAAUAUAAUCAGGGAUUUGUAUAAUAACAACAAAACUGGCAAGCCCAUAGAUGUUGGUGAGUUGUCGAUCUCAACUUUUGUAUGUGUUAUACAGAACAUGCUAUGGGGUGAAGCUCUUGAAUUAAGAGAGAAAGGGAUCAGUAACCUUGGGGCUGAGCUAAAGUUUAAGCUAGCAGAACUCGUGGUGCUAAUGGGAACACCGAAUAUUUCGGAUAUCAUUCCGUGCUUUCAUGGCUUGAUAUACAAGGUAUAGAGAAGAGAACAAAGAAGAUUUCUCU